GGACAAAGAUUCUGACAGGCGAGUUUUAUCCAUGAAAUCUCGAAUCCAUAGGCGAGUGCGGUGUGCAUGGAAGAGUAGGAAUGGUAAUCGAAAGUGGAGAGAGAAGUGGGAGCAACAAGCUUUACCUCACACCCAACUUCUAAGUCCUCAGCUUUUAGGUCUCCACCAAUUGCAUAUGAAUACCCCUUCCCCUCCCACUUCACCCACUCUCCACUCUCCACAUACUUCCCUUUCUCUCUCACCCAAUCAUUACAAUUCACAAACACUAUAUGCGAGAAACUUCCUUAUUGGGAAAUGAGGAUAGAAAAAUUGUUUGUUUCCCAUAAAGUAAAGAAGGAAAGAAAGAUACAAAAGAAAAGAGAGGAAGAUGAAAGGGAAGCUAAAGAAAAAGAAAAACCAAGUGAGGGGUGGUGUGAAUCUAGAAAGAAUGAGGAAUAUCUUAUAACACCCCUUACAAGCAUAUUCAAAAUGGAAAAUCAAGAGAAAAUCCUUGGGAAACAAAAGGCGUGGGAAAAGAGUGUUCCUUCUCACAAAGUCAUUCAACAAGAAGUAAAAGUUGAAAAUACCUUUGAAAACAUGUUUCUUGUUGAACAACCUAGCCUUACCUUUUGUAAAGGAACACUUGCAAGCAUAGUGAAAAAAGAAGAAUCCUUAAAAGAGACUUGCAUAGAUAAAGAUGUAGUGGAUUAUUUCUCAUAUGUGCUAGGAUAUCACCAAGUGAAUGUCAAGUUAUCUAUAAGCAUCUACAAAAACAAAUUUUUAUGUGAGGUAGUGCCUAAAGAAACUUGUCAUGUCUUAUUGAGACAACCAUUGCAAAGUGUACAAAUUCUCAUAAACAAUGGUUGUAACAACGAGACUAUCUUUACACAUAAGAGAAAAAUUCUUCAUGAAGGAGAACUCAUGGGCCAAAUUAGAGUUGAUAAAACUCUAGAGCUUUUAAAAGGAAAACUUUUGUCCCCCAUGAGAAAAGAUGUUCAAAGACAUUACCCUAGAUACAUAUCUUGUUUUAAAACUACACCUAAGCCAAUGUCUCAUGAACUCUAUACUCCUUCACCUUUUGCAAAUGAUCCUUGGGAAGACACAAAUUUCAUAUUAGAGCUUCCUAGGACAACAAAAGGUUUUGAUUCCAUUUUCAUGGAUAUGGAUAAACUCUUCCUUAGAGAAGUGACAAAUCUUCAUGGUUUAUCAUCAAACAUAGUGUUGGCUAGAGCUCCAAAUUUUGAAAAUCAUCAUUUGAGGAUUCUCUUGGAAAAACUUGAAACUAAGUUAUACACUUUAAAUUCUUAUCAUCCUCAAAAGAAUGGUCAAAAUACAUUUGAAAACCUAGCUCUUUUUACUAUGCCUAAAGAAAUCAUGAAAGACAACCACAAUUCUUGGGAUGAGUAUCCUUUUCCUAAUAAGCAUGCAUACAAUGGAGUAGUCCACAAGACUACAAAUAUUUCUACAUUUGAAAUUGCAUGUGGACUUAAUCCUCUCUCGCUUUUUAAGUUGUUACCCUUUCCUAAAGGUAUUGUGCCUAAGGAAAAGGUAACCAAUAUUGAAAAUUUUCAAAUACAUAAGAGGAUUAGAGGACACAUAAAACCAUCAAAAGGAAAAUAUUGUGAAAAGUUGCCAAAAACAAAAGAAAAACAAAAAUGGCAACUUCAUACAAUUAAGUUCUCUCCAAUUGCUCACACUAACUCAUUUGCUUUGUUUCAAGAUUCCCAUAGAUGGACAUUUGAUCCGGGAGGACAAACCUUGACGAAGCAAGAGGCUGCUAUUCGAGAUCAAAUCUAUAGAUCUGGGGAUAUAUCUUCUCAAGAAGGAGGAGAUGAUGGACACCAUCCAGCCACAUCCAUCCCCCUAGAUGAAGAAAAAGCAUUGGAUUUGAGGAUAAAUCCUUUUCAAGAGGGAGGAGAUGAUGGAAGAGGCCCCAACACCAACCCUUUGAGAGGCCACCAAAAUGCUACCUUGAGGCAACCACUAGAGUCAUAGUCAAAGAGGGGUCAAGAGGACACAUUUUACAUGUCAUAGACUCUAGUGUGUCAUAGUUUUUCUUAUUUUCUAGUCAAAGUAGCAUAGUUUAAAUAUUUUUGUAAAUGUGUUGAAACAUGCAAAGUGGUACCUAAAAUGCUAACCUAAGUUUAAUUAGAGUUUCCUACUCCUAAUUAAACUUAGGUCCAUCCCACAAUUAGCCUAAGUGGAGCAUAAGGUUCUAGAACUCCUAGCACAUCUAAGAGGUUUUGUAGAUCAUCUAGCGGUUCUAGUGAAAUCGUUUAGCUACUCCUCUAACAAGACUAUAUAGCCUGUUUGCUAUGUUUUUUUUUUUUAUUUAUAUGUUUAUCUGUUGUAAUCUUAAGAGUGUGUGCAUCUCAUAUUCUGUUUUCCAGAAAUUUUGUUUUUCUUUUUUUUGUUUCUUGCUCUUGCGAGUUGCGCUUUUGUUUCAUUAAUCCGUGUGACUGUGUGUGUCAUGAAUUACCAUUUUUAAUAUGCUAGCAGAGUAGGUUGAAUGACCUGCUUUGCCUCCAAUGUUGUUUCAGUUCUUUUUCUUUCUUGUUGAAUAAUUGUUUUCUCUUGUAGACUAUUUUCUUCUUAUUGUCUUCUUCAUGUAUUUUUCUGAAACAGAAUACAGAAAGCAAGGUUUUGUUAUGAAUCUUUGCAAUAAUCCCGCAAGUUCAUAUUACUUGCAUCUUGGAGAAAAUUCUAGAACUGCGUUUAUCUCUCCUCAACUCAAUGGAGAAAAUCCCUUCACAUAAAGGGAAAAUUGUGGUAUUAAAGUUGACACCUCUCCUAAUUAAGUUUGAUGUUGUUGGUACUUAUCCCAUCAGAACCCUCCAAAAAAAGUUUUGAGCAUUCUAGAGUGCUCUGACAUUCUCAAAAAAAUUGAUUAAAGUAUUGUUAGCACUCACAUAGGUAUUUUUUAAUAUAGCAUAUGAUGACUUGAAAUAGAGAAUAACCUAGUAAUUUUUGUUUAAGGGUUACCUCUCCUAACCAUCCUUUCAAUAAGUGAUUGAUAGAUGUUAUUUAUUCACUUAUUUUUCUAAAUAUCCUUUCUGACGUUAUCGGUAAGUUCGAUAUUAAGCCUUUAAGGUUCGACCCGAGGCUUAGUAGGUUGUGUGGCGUUAUAGGUAAGUUUUGAUAUUAAGUCUCUAAGGCUCGGUCUGAGGCUAGUGGGAUGUAUGGCAUUAUAGGUAGAUUCUGAUCUAUAUAACGAUAAUUUGGAUUGAACGAGAGCCAAUCCUAGAAAAAUUCCUACGAUUAUAUAUUUUAUAGAUGAAUCCCAUUAAUGUCAUGUUUAAGAUAGUUUAAGGCAAGAAUAAAAUGUUAUAAAGGUAAUUUUGUCAUUUAAUAGUGAAUAAGGACUUAAAGUACGAUCAAAUACAAGAAAUGGGCGGAUCAAUAUAGCAUAAAAAGGAUAUACAAGGUAAAAAAAAAGGCAGAAUAAAAAUUGGGGUGAAUUGUUUUCACAAUAUUUUCGUAAUAUUGGAGUCAAUUAAUUGAUUGAUCAGUUCAACUAAUUAUAAAAAGCACAAUAAGUAUAUAUUCAAAAAUUAAACUAGUUGUUACGAGAAUUCAACCAAUUGAUUUAAACGCAAUAAGUAGAAAGUUAUUGAUAAAACAAAUAUCAGAGUAAGAGAGAGAUUGCACAGGAGAUUGCACAGGAGAUUUAUAUUUGUUCACUCUUACAUCCAUCAAGAGCUACAUCCAGUCCUCAGCAAAUUACUAAGAAUUCACUAAAGCAAACACACAAGGUUUACAAGAACACAAAACACUCUUAACCACAUACAAAAUUCAGAAACCCUAUCUGAAUCUGUUUACACCAAAUUGCAGUGAAAACAAUAAGAUUUGAAUACACCUCGAUUAUUACAAAUGAAGCACAAGAAAAAUGUAAACCCAGAAACCUUCUUUACCAAACAAGAAUGAUCCAAGAAGCAAACUCAAACUCCAAGAAUGAUUUUAAAACUUUCUAUUUUUUCUCUCUUAUGAAAAUCGUUUUUUGAAAUAAUCAGAUUACAUCCUUAUAUAAGGUAAUAAUGAUUGUAUAAGAAUUUUGAUCAUUUAAUGAAAACAAUUGUUUCAAUUAAAAAUGCAUUGAUUAAUAUAACAGAAUUAUGUUAAAAACAUUUAAUUGAUUUUCUUUAAAUAGAUGAAAUCAACAAAUUUUAAACCAGUUCUUUUAUCGAAAUAACUUAUUGAUUUCACUUAACAAAAAAGACAAACUAAAAGACAAAUCAUUUUUAAAUCCUUAAAAACCGUAAGUGUUUUAAACCGGAUUGAUACGAUAAAUCAAUAUGUUAAAAAUACUUACUAUAGUCAACAAACAUGAAUAGAAGUAAUUUCAACUUAUUAAUAUAUGAAUCAACUCAUUAAAAAAGACAGAUUUAGAAAACAAAACUUUUCAAGGAGAUUACUAUUCAAGUAACUUGGAUCAUUGUGUAAUGAAAAGUUAUAUAUAAAAAGCCAUGUUUGUUGAACUUUAAGCUCUAGAACGCAACAACACAUGGUAGAUGAUUUCUCUUCCACCGGGCACAAACCAAUCGGUUGUCGUUGGGUACAUAAAAUCAAGUAUAAUUUUGAUGGGACCAUUGAACGAUAUAAAGCUCGUUUGGUCGCCAAGGGCUUCACCCAGGUUGAAGGUAUAGACUAUAAGGAAACUUUUUCUCCUACUGCCAAGCUCACCACUAUUCGUUGUUUAUUAAUUGUUGCUUCCCGCAACUAGUAUACACAUCAACUUGAUGUGAACAAUUCAUUCAUUCAUGUGAAAUUACAAGAAGAGGUGUAUAUGACUCCAACUCCUGGUCUUCGCCCAUAGGGGGAGAAUCCGGUAUGUCUGCUUCACAAAUUAAUUUAUGGUUUAAAACAAGCAUCACGAAAUUGGUUCUCAACUUUUGCAACUACAGUUAAAUCUACUGGUUACAUACAAUCCAAGGCAGAUUAUUCACUUUUUACUAAAUCUCAAGGUAAAAAGUUUACUGUUAUUCUCAUUUACGUCGAUGACAUCCUUAAAAAAAUCUAUUUAAUGUAAAAUCAUUUGGAUUAAAGCUUACUAAAUAUUACUCUUUUGGUCAUGGAAAAGUUAUGCAAUCCAACACAUGAAAAAUAGAAAAGACAAGUAUUGUCUACACAAAAAUUGUAGAAUGUCAUCAUGCAUAUUCAGGUGGAAUGAGUUCAUGAUUCCGCAUUUGCAAACUUUGGAAAAAAAAAUAAAUUUAGUAACCCAUUUGUUCUAACUUUAUAGAUGUAAAAUAUUUAAUAGAGACAAAGAAGUGAAAAAUAUUAUAGAUGUACUUCUACUUAAAAUGACAAACAAGCUGAAUGUAAAACAAAUUUUUAUUAUACAUAACUAAAUAGUAUGCUUCACUAAAGGAUGAAUUGCAUGUAUACUUAUACUUUACAUGAAAUAAUUAGGAGAAGGAGUUCAAUUCAUUCGAUGUCGAGUUUAUUGUUUCACCAUCUCUACUCAAUUCAUCUAGAAAUAAAGCAGGCUUUGGAGGUAUUUCCAAGUCUUCAAUGUCUCCUUCAAGCAUUUCCACUACUCUAUUCAUUGAGGGUCGAUCGCUUGGUUUCAAUUGUAUGCACCAAAGAGACACUAUGAUCAUUUUCUUUGCUAUUAUCUUUUCCUCUUUAGUCAAAUAUUCCUUAUCUAUAUCUUCCUCAUCUUUGAUAUGAUCAUAGAUCCAAAGUGGAAAGUAAAGUUGACUUGAGUGGUCUACAUGGGGAUUUAGAUUCUUCCUCUUGCUCGCCAUCUCCAUCAAAAGCAUUCCAAAGCUAUAAACAUCAGCUUUAUGGGAUAUUCCUCCAAUAUUUUUGUAAAAUAGUUCUGGAGCCAUAUAUCCAAUGGUUCCUCUUGCUAUAGUCAUUGUGACGAUACUAUUAUCUAUUGGAUAUAACUUUGCCAAUCCAAAGUCAGAAACCUUAGGGAUAAAGUUUUCAUCUAGUAAGAUGUUAUGAGGUUUGAUGUCAAAAUGCAAAAUCUGCAUCUCACACCCAUGGUGGAGAUAAGCAAUCCCACGAGCCACUCCAAUUGAUAUAUUAUAUACAUUUUCAUAGCUUAAAUGUAUAUUUCUCUCUUUUGAGAAAAUAAAUUUAUCAAGAGAUCCAUUGGGCAUAAAUUCAUAAACAAGAGCACGCUUUGAGCCACUAACACAAAAUCCAAUUAACCGUACCACAUUUUGAUGAUGUAUUCUUCCAAUAGUCGCAACUUCAUUGAUAAAAUCUUGUCCAUUUGCUUUGGAUUUGCCUAACAUUUUGAUGGCCACAGAAGGCCCACUGCACAACUUUGCCUUAAAGACAUAGCCAAAUCCUCCUUCACCUAACUUCUCUUUGAAACCAGCAGACAUUUUCUUGAUUUCCUUAUAUGAAUAUCUAAUAGGUGCCAAGCUAUUUUGUUGAAGGUAAUUUUCAAUAUUUUCAUACAUUGAUGUAUGUCUUUUUCUCCAUUUACAUAUAAAAAUAACAAUUAAAAAUGGCAAUCCAAACAAAAGUUUGUAGACCCAUAAUAUAGAGAUAUACAUGAGAAUACCUGUAAUAAAUUUUUACUUUAGUGACACUUAUACUAUAAAAUGCAACAAGGUAUUUGUUAAAGUAAAUUUUCGUUCAUAAAGUCCAAACAUGACAUAUCUAUUUACUUGGUAACAUUACAAAAAGAGUAAAUUUAAUGUUUAGCAUAAACAAUUAUCAAUAAAUUUCUUUUUUUUAUGUUACUCUUUAUAUAAAUAAAUUUUUUCUGUAACAUUAAUGUGUCCUAAAACCUAAUUCAGUGAUGGUUGUAAAAUAUAAAAAAAAAACAGAUUUUUUUUAAAUAAUUUAUUUGUUUCUAUAAACAUUUUAAAUUCAAUUUGUGUUUCUUUAACUUUUUUAACGUAUUUACUAUAACUUUUUGUUAUUUACUACAACUUUUUGUCUUCUCUUAUUUCCUAACAUUAGUUCCUACAGGUUCGAUAUUCAUCAUUAAAAACAAAUUAUUACUUCUAAUUCGGUACACUUGCUGAAUUAAAGAGUAAUCAACUAUCCCAAAUAUUGAAUAAAUAACUUUCUUAAAGAGUAAAAAUCACAAUAUAAAAAAUGUUAUCAAAUAAAAAUUAGUCAUAAUAGAAAUUUCUUAACAGACUAUAAUCUAUUGUUUUGCAAAUGUUGAGAGGGAAAAUACCUCGAAGAUUUGAGUCUGGGAUAUUUGACAUGGUGAACCCUUAAAAGAUAAAGUGCAAUCUUGUGUAGUAUGAAAAGUUCUUGAAAUAAACUAAAUUAAAAAAUAAGAAAAAAUAAUAAAUUUUUAGAUUACUUAAUAAACUAAAGAUUUACAAAUUUAAUUUAAAAAAUUGAGGUUUACAAUGUAAUUCAUCAUUUGAAGAAAAUCAGAAAAGUGUGUAAUUAAGAUUAUUGUAUAGUAAAAGAAUAGUUUUUUUAAAAUGGAAUGAAUCAAAUGACUGACAAGAACAAUAAAAAUAAGUUUUAAUAGGUUGUUUAAUAAAUUAAAUAUAUUUCAGUAAUUUAAAAUGAAAACGGAUAAUUCAUAUCCAAUUUAAAAUAUUAGAUAUUAUUUACAAUUGUGCCCAAUCAAUACGGAAAUUAAAAUUUAUCUAUUAAAAAAAAAGUUAAACUUUCAACAAUAUUUUUUAGUAUAAUUGUUCUCAUAUAUUACUUUCACCAAACAGUUCAUAUUAUAACCAAUCAUUGAAAGGGUGAAAAUUUUAUAUUAUAACCAAUCAUUGAAAGGGUUGAAAAUUUUAAAACUAAAAUAGAAUUAAAAAUGACAGUUUAAUCUAAUAAAUUCUAAAUCUUAAAUCAUAAACUAUUGUAAAAAAUGCUUGGAAAUUUUUAAAAACAAAAUAAAAUUUUAAAAAAAAAACAGAGAAUUGUAUCUUGAACCGUAGCCAAAUCUUCUAUUUUUUAACAUUUCUGUAAAUGAAAAUUUUAGAACUAUUAAUAAAAGUCUAUUUUAAUCAUUUUUGUGUAAUUAAAGAAUUUAGAAAUUAAGAUGAUAAAAUUGUACCUGGUAUACAGAAUUUUAGCACUUCCAGCAGUGGCAGACUAAAUGAGCCUGAAAUGAAGGAAAAUAUGAAGUUUAGAAUAGUGGUGAUCUCUACAGUUUGAUAAAGGUUAUAGCGGUCAAUAAGUUUAACAGUUACUUAUUUUAAAGAAAAUAAAUGUUUAAUUUAAUGCAUAUGUUCUUAUAAAUACACGUAAAAUAUAAAAGAUACAAAAAUUGGUUUAAACUAAUUGUUUACAAGCUUUUCAGUUAAUUUAAAUGUAUAUUUAGAAGAUUUAAACUACAUGAGUAAGGAGCAUAAUAACGUGCUUAUCUAAAAAAAUUGGUUAAUAUAUUUUGGUUUAGGAUCACUCACCUUUGAUGCAUUGAAGCUUGUGGUUAGAAGAGUCGACAUAGCAAUCUCUAUCAUCAUCUGGACAAUGUUUCUGACAGACGAGUUGUAUCCAUGAAAUCUCGAAUCCAUAGGCGAGUGCGGUGUGAAUGGAAGAGUAGGAAUGGUUAUCGAAAGUGGAGAGAGAAGUGGGAGCAACAAGCUUUACCUCACACCCAACUUCUAAGUCCUCUGCUUUUAGGUCUCCACCAAUUGCAUAUGAAUACCCCUUCCCCUCCCACUUCACCCACUCUCCACUCUCCACAUACUUCUCUUUCUCUCUCACCGAAUGGUUACAAUUCACAAACACUAUAUGCGAGAAACUCAGAGAUUCCCAAUUUAUAGAGGCAUCUAGACCGGCUUGGUAUGGAUUCGAGUGGUAAAAGGAAGUGUAAGUGUCAGAGAAAUUGGAGCGAGAGAGGAAACGGAGAGGAAGGGAGGAGAGAUUAUGGUGCUGCAGAGCAGGAUCAACAACUCUCACUGUGUAGUUCUUGUAGUUUAUUGACUUCACAUGAUAUUGUCCAGAGUACAGAUACAACACCGUAAAGUUAUGCUCACAACCAAGUUCAUACCUUUCCUCACCACACUUUUCUGGGUCGCCUUUUAAUCGAAAUGGAUAACUGAUGUUGCUGAUUUUACCACAGGAAGAAGGGGGACAAACGUGUUCUUGGUGGUCCUUGGUAGCAGAAAUAUGGUGGAGUAGAAGUAGCAGUACCACCAACACUGCUCUCUCUCUCCACAUCAUGUCCAGACUGUUUCUCACUGAAUUCAAGUGCAAACAAAUCCAAGUUAGAUAUUUAUAUUUAAACAUCACACACUGAAUUUAUAGCUAUAAAGGACCACAUUUUUCCUUUUACAAAAUUGUUUGAAGACUUAUGAUACUUAAAACGUAGACUUUGACUCAGAAACCGCGUUAUCUUGUUUCCGCAACUCAUUUUAAUCCAUACAAAAUUUUAAAUAUUCGUGAAGUGCAUGAAUUUUGAUUUCGGUAUUUAAUCAUCUAAUUUUGUUGAUGGUGUUCUUUGAGUUUCUGAAACCAUCCUAAAUUGUUUGUUUUAAAAGCUUAUAUUUUGAAAAAUAAUUUUAAUGACCUUAGAAUUUCUGUGAGUCCCAAAAUAAUGUUUGUUUGGUUAAGAAACUUCAACAUGUGAUAGGUACAUAAAUUGUUUUAGUGAAUUUUUCCCCGAAAAUGGCCUCAUAUGUUUCUUUGUGUUAAUUUCUUGAACAUAUUCUUCUUGGACAUGGGAGCAAGAAAGAGUGUGUGGUGGGAGAACGAAGCACUAACAAUUUUCUGUAUGUGUAAAAGGUAAAGGAGAGGGAAAAACAUAUGGAAGCAAUUCCAAACACGUAACCCAAAAUUCCAGCAUACUUUUCAACUUGUGGCCUUGAAAACUCAAUAAUUAAAAGUGCGUUUCGAAGAAUUUGACGUAGAUCUCCAAAAUUAUAAUGUCGCAAAAAUGUAUAUGACCUUGUGGACUUUGACCUUGAUAAAGUUAAUAAAAGUGAACAACUCAGAGAUAAUUCUUGAUAGAAUUAAACACUUGAGUUACAUAGGAUGAGCCGUGAGAUCCUCACUCGGCUAAUUAGUAAUUGAAAGAAUAAAAAAUCAUUAAGCAAUUUUUUUUGGUAGAAAAGCUAGCAGGAAAUUUCUAAACCAUGUUUUCUGCAUGCAGGUAUCAAAACCCUCAAGUGCAUGUAGUUUCAUUUGAUGUGGUUGUCAUUAAUACUUCAUGAUCCUCUUCAUCUUGUUCGUGAUUACUAUCUUCUUGAGCACAAUUGGAAGCAUGAUUAUCACCUUUUGAUCUGCACUUAUUUGCAUAAUGGCCACGUUUAUGGCAAUUAUAACACUNNNNNNNNNNNNNNNNNNNNNNNNNNNNNNNNNNNNNNNNNNNNNNNNNNNNNNNNNNNNNNNNNNNNNNNNNNNNNNNNNNNNNNNNNNNNNNNNNNNNACAUGGUAGCUAUUUCAGCAAAGGUCGUGGUGGCUAAAAUCAUGGAGGCGCUUGACGCGGGGGACGUGGUCGCGGAGGACGAGGAGGCAUUUAUAAUAAAUCAAAUGUUGAGUGUUAUAAUUGCCAUAAACGUGGCCAUUAUGCAAAUAAGUGCAGAUCAAAAGGUGAUAAUCAUGCUUCCAAUUGUGCUCAAGAAGAUAGUAAUCACGAACAAGAUGAAGAGGAUCAUGAAGUAUUAAUGACAACCACAUCAAAUGAAACUCCAAACAAUCAGACUUGGUAUUUGGAUACAGGUUGCACGAAUCAUAUGUGUGGUCAGAAGGAGCUGUUUGCAGAUUUGGAUGACUCAUUUCGAACAAAAGUGAAAUUCGGUGAUGACAGGUUCGUUCCGGUGAUUGGAAAAUGGUGAAUUCUUAUUACAUUAAAGAAUGGUGAUCACAGGUACAUUUAUGAUGUUUUCUAUGUACCUGACAUGAAAAGUAAUCUGUUGAGUGUGGGACAACUGGCUGAAAAGGGUUACGUGAUGCACAUAGUUGAAAAUAAAUUCUCAAUUUUUGAUAGGUAAUUUGAUUCUUAAAACCUUUUUAUCAAAAAACCGCAUGUUUCCAGUAGAUAUUCAUAUGGGUGAUUUAAAGUGCUUGAAUGUAAUAAUGAAUAAUGAAUCGUGGUUAUGACAUUUACGCUUUGGGCACUUAAAUUUUCAGAGUUUGGAAAAUCUUUCCAAAAGAAAUUUAGUGAAUGGUUUACCCCAUAUUUAUCACCCUAAUCAAUUGUGUGAGGCUUGCAUCUUUGGAAAGAAUCACAGGAUACCAUUUGUUAAGGAGUCUUGGCGUGCAAAAUUUCCUUUGGAGCUUGUUCAUACAGAUGUUUGUGGCCCGAUGAACAUAUCAUCAGUUGGAGGUAAUAAGUAUUUUUUAACCUUUAUUGAUGAUUUUUCAAGGAAAACCUGGAUUUAUGUAUUGAAAAGCAAGGAUGAGGUAUUCCACUGCUUUAAAAUAUUUAAAGCAUUUGUUGAAAGAGAGAGUGNNNNNNNNNNNNNNNNNNNNNNNNNNNNNNNNNNNNNNNNNNNNNNNNNNNNNNNNNNNNNNNNNNNNNNNNNNNNNNNNNNNNNNNNNNNNNNNNNNNNUGAUGGAGCGACCAAGAAGGCAACAACGACAACCUGUACACCUUCAAGAUUGUGAAGUAAAUCUUGAUGGUGAAGUUGAUGACAAUGGAGAUUUAGUUCACUUUGCUUUUCUUGCAGAAUCAGAACCUGUGAGACUUGCCGAUGCCAUUCAACACCCGAAAUGGCAAAAGGCUAUGAAUGAAGAAUUGAUGGCGAUUGAGAAAAACAAUGUCAUGACUCAAAUUGGGAAGGUUGUUCCAAAUCAGAAUUAAGGGAGGAUGUUGGUUAUUAAUUCAUAUUUUAUUAUUAUUAAUUCAGAUUUUAUUACCCUUAAACUAUUUUACCGUUAUAUUGCAUUAAUGGUCAAUUUACAGGCCUGUUAGUAUUCCUAUUUUAUAGCUUCCAGUAAUUGUGAUUUUAUUAUAUAUAUGAUUGAGUAAAUCAAAAUGAAUAACUUUAGUUUUGUAAUUUUUUGCAAUUACGUUCAAUCGGUUGCUAUAACCUUUUGCCUUCUCUUAUUUCCUUCAAUUAGUUCCUACACACUCACCAUUUAACGUUUUGUAUAAAGUGACGUUUUAUGUGUAUAAUUAAAAUUGUCGUAAUUUAUUUGAUCGGAAAACGAUUUCAGUGAAAAAACAACACAUAAACAUCACUAUAUACUAUACAAUAUGAUGUUUUUAACUAUCAUUAUUUUAAGAAAAAUUUGAAAAACAAUACUUAAGUUUCAAUAUACGUAAAUUGAAUACUAAAUAAAUAGAAUUCAGUCACCAAUUUAUAAUCUCAUUAUUUAAUAAAUUUGUUUUCAUAAUUAAACAACUAAACAAAUUUAUAAUACCAUUUAAUUAAAUCUAUUUUCACAAUAAAAAAAUUAAAUACUACUCAUAGUUAUAAUAAACAUUCAUUUAUUGCAUUGAAAACUGAACACAAAAUUAAUAGUUGUUCAAAAGUACACCAAGAUAAAUACACAAAAUAUUUUUAAAUAUGAUAACAUCUUAUUAGACUAUUACAAUCAUCUUCCUUAAUAUUUACUUCCACCACUUGAUUCUAUUAUUUUGUUGGGUGAUAAAGCACAAUUUCCAACCUAAGGUGCCUACAUCUAAUGCUUAAAAUAGAUAAAAAAUAAUUUCAGAUUAUUCAUUUUCAAUUUUUAUAAUUAUAAAAUAAAAGAAGACAUUAAUAAUAAAUAUUUAAGUAUAUUAAGUUAUACCUCAUUCCAAUUGACAUAAUUUUAGGUUAUUUGAAAAACCUUUCUUUAACAUCAUUAAAAGUUCUAGAUGUAUUAUAAACUAGAGAGUUAUAAAAAUAAAGAAAUGUAUUUUUCUAUUCAAGAAUAACAAUUAAAUAUACAAUCAUUGUAAUUUUGAAUUUCUUUACAGUUUUUAUUAAAAAAAAUUACAAUUGCAAUUACAACUACAACUAAUUUAUUUUAUUGUUAUCCUUAAUGGGAUGUUUUUUCUUACUCUUGAAAGAAAUAAAAUAAUGUAUAUAUUUGUAGUAGGCAAAGCUGUAGUAGGCAAAUAUAGGUUUCAAUAUUUUUCCAUCUUCUAGCCUGAAACAAUCUCAAAUUAUAGAAAAGCUUAGCAUUUAGUUUGCUAAAUGUAGACAACACUAAUAAUUAGCAAGAUAUUGAUUCUAAUUAUCUAGUGGUCUGUUGGAGAGAGUUCAUAAAAUUUAGUUAAAGCGAGAUUGUAGAUAAUCUGCUGAAAAGAGUUAUUUAUGUAUUUUUCAUUAAUUUCUCAUAGAAAUUAAUAGUAAACGCUCUCUCAACCAUUUAAACAAAUGUCAUUUUAAUGUACAAUCAACAAACCAAUGUCAAUGAAGUCUAUGUUUCGUUAAAGCCACGUAAGAUUUUACUUGAGUGAAUGAAUAUUAUGGUAAAGAAUACUUUGUUUUAGAUGAUUAAGGCAAGUAAAAUAAGAAUAUGGAAUGUGUGUACGGUAAGUUCGUUAAUUUAAGAUUUAUUCAUAAAGAAUCAUUUCAUUGAUAUAAUAGGUUUCUAUUUGUUCUUAGAUUUUUUUAUGAAUAAAUAUAGUCUACUCAUAUAUUGUUUUUGUUAACACAUGAAUUUUAAUAUAGUUUUUUAUUUUUAUUUUUUAUUUUUUUUAAUAAUAUAUUUUUUCAUGUGAUGACACUCACAUAUUAUUGCUAUUACUUGAGGUGUCAACCUAACUGAAAUUUCAAGUUAUAUAAUGAUGCUUGACAUGAAAGUUUUUUAUAAAAAAAAAAUAAAAAAAUUAUAUUUGGUUCAUACAUAUACAUUAUAUACAUUUGAUCCAUUUAGAUAGUAACGUUCUAAUGAAAAAGUAAAUUUAAUAUACUUAAACAAAUAUCAAUAUAUUUGGUUGUUGGAGUUGCUAAAUAUAAUGUGUUUCUUUUUCCUAUGCCACAAGAAAAUUUUGUCUUUAACAUUGGUAUACAUAUCUUAGACCAAAUUGACAAAUGGUUACCGAAAUUGAAAAAUAUUUUUUUAGUAAAAUAUGUUUUUCGUCAUUCUAAAUUUUUUUAAACAGUUUUUCUUUCAAUUAUUUUGACUUAUUUUCAUACAUCUGUUUGGAAUUUGAGUUUUGGUUCUGGAGGUAACAUUUAAUAGCGUUUAUUAAGCACUAUUCAAACUACUCUAAAUAUAAAAGUGGUAUAUUUUAAAAAUAAUGGAAAAAAUAUUUAGAGUGAUAAAAAUAUAAUUUUGAGAAAUAUAAAUAAAUAAUAUUUUUUUUCUGCGUUUGUUUAUUGCAACGUAGGGAUCAGAAUAAACAAAUUAAGCCAAUUUUAUGUAUGUCCACUUCUUUUACUGCAAACUAUAGCAUAUAAAAAUUCUUGUCCAGAUGAUAUUAAAAUUAAAAAAAACUGUAAAUUAAGUUGUUGUAAAGUGUGUGAACUUUAUAUAUAUCUCUUAUAAUUAAAGCAUAGGUAAAUUAAGGUGAUAAAAAUUGUAAAUAUAAUUUUAAGGAAUUAGUUUGAGAACCCAAUUAAAGAAGUAUUUCAUGACUUACUUAAAUAAAGACGAGACAUAAAUAUAUUAUAGUAAAUAAUGGAAAAAUGAUCGAAAUAAAUUUUUAUAUCCUGAUUGAGAAACAAUAUUAAUAAUGCAUUUGAUUUUUUUUGUACUUUAAAUAUUUCCAAAUUAUUCUAGGACUAAAAGUUCCACCACAUGUAGAACUGUGGCGGAAAUAUCUUUCCAUUAAUAUCGUGUGUCUUAUAUAAACACUUGAUAUGCACGUAUAUAAUUGACGCAGUCAAAUGACAAUAUACUUUGAAAUUAAUAAUUAUUGAUUUAUUUUUAUCAGUUGAACGUAGGUAUACACUAACAUUUAAUUUAAUGUGUUAAAAUUUUCACAUCCAUUAAAAAUUAGAAUAUUAAAUGAAUACAAAAUAUAAUCCAAACUCUCUAUCGAAGUUAAAUGAAUUUGAACAAAUCAUAUAACUAAUUCGACAUCAGAAUUCAUAUGUUCUUUUCAUCAGACAACAACAACCCAAGUUGUGUGGCUUCUUCCUCAUCAUCAACUUAUAAUUUCUAACCUCUCUGGUACGCUUGUUAUUACAAGGCUAUUUUUUUUUUUUCAAAUUCCAUAUAUUAUGUAUUGUAAAACACAUAAAUUCUUUUAGGUGAAACUUAUGUGUCAACUUUCAAUCAAUAUUCACUGUCGGUCAUUAAUUCAAAUUUUAUUUACUAAAUUAGAGUUUGAAUUAGUCUUGAAUUGUUGUCCUAGUUUACAGUCAGUAUUACGUUAGUGGUUUUGAAAGUGUACAAGGCUAUUAGUAUUGUGUUAGUGUUUAGUUAUUACUUAUAUUUUAUAGUUUUUGGUAGUUGUAAUUUUAUUUUUAUAUAUUGUCGAAGUAAAUCAACAAAAUGCAUGCAGUAUAUUGUCUUCUAUUAUUUCUUUCAAACAGUUUCUACAAUUGUUAUCAAAUCCAGAUUGUCUGUUAUCAUGAAAUCUACCUAAUUAUUGGUCCCUAUCUUUGAUUGAAAAAAAUUACAAUCGAUGAUGCGUGCAGAUGAGAGUUUUGUUCGAUUAUCAUGAGUUAUGGGAUGUCAUUGAGAAUGGAGUGUCUGCAUUAGCUGCUAAUGCAACUGAGACGCAAUGAGUAGCGCAUCGUGACCAGAAGAAGAAGGACAAUAAGACUUUGUGUCUCAUCUAUCAAGGGAUGAAUGACGAAACCUUUGAGCAGAUAAAAGGAGCAACAACUGCAAGUGAAGCUUAGACCAUUUUGUUAACCAAUUAUAAAGGCGAUGACAAGAUCAAGAGGGUGUGCCUUCAAACUUUAAGACGCCAAUAUGAACUGCGGUAGAUGGAAACCACAAAGACUGUUGAUGUUUAUAUCAAUAGAGUUCUUGCCUUAACGAAUGAGAUGAAGACCAAUAGUGAAACACAUUCGGAGCAGGCAAAGGUGGAGAAGAUUUUGAGGUCUUUAACUCCCAUAUUUGAACAUGUUGCCGCAAUUGAAAAGGCCAAUGCCCUUUUAACAAUGACAGUAAGGUUAUUGUCCGGUUCCCUACGAACGUAUGAGUAGUGGAUGAAUGACAAUAAGAUUGAAAAACCAAUUGAACAGGCUUUACAAGCACAAUCCUCAAUUCCAAGCCUCAAUUGGUAACUCCUAUCAUAAGCACGGUAGUUCACAAGGUAGAGGACGUGGACGUGGUGGUAGCUAUUCCAAUAAAGGUUGUGGUGGCCAGAACCAUGGAGGUGCUGAGCAAAACAACACUGGUUCCAAUCACAAUCUGAGUUCAAAUAACUCUUGGCGCGAAGGACGUGGUCGCGGAGGACGUAGGGACAUGUAUAAUAAAUCAAAUGUGUAAUGUUAUAACUACCAUAAGCGCGACCAUUAUGCAAAUGAAUGUAGAUCAAAAGGUGAUAAUCAUGCUGUCAAUUGUGCUAAAGAAGACUAUAAUCACGAACAAGAUCAAGAGGAUCAUGCAUUACUAAUGGUAGCCAUAUCAAAUGAAACUCCAAACAAUCAGACGUGGUAUUUAGAUACAGGUUGCAAGAAUCAUAUGUGUGGUCAGAAGGAGCUGUUUGCAUAUUUGGAUGACUCAUUUCGCACAAAAGUGAAAUUCGGUGAUGGCAGAUUCGUUUCGGUGACUGGAAAAGGGCAGAUUCUUAUCACAUUGAAGAAUAGUGAUCACAGGUAUAUCUAUGAUGUUUUCUAUACCUGAUAUGAGAAGUAAUCUAUUGAGUAUGAGACAGUUUGCCGAAAAGGGUUACGUGAUGCACAUAGUUGAAAAUCAAUUCUCAAUUUUUUAUAAAGAAGGUAGCUUGAUUCUUAAAUUUUUUUUAUAAAAAAAUCGCAUGUUUCUAGUAUAUUUUAAUAUGGGUGAUUUCAAGUGCUUGAAUGCAAUAAUGAAUAAUGAAUCGUGGUUAUGACAUUUACGUUUUGGCCACUUAAAUUUUCAGAGUUUGGAAAAAUCUCUCCAAAUUGGUUUACCCCAUAUUCAUUACUCUGAUCAAUUGUGUGAGGCUUGCAUUUUUGGAAAGAAUCACAGGAUACCAUUUGUUAAAGAGUCUUGGCGUGCGAAAUUUCCUUUGCGCUUGAUCAUACAGAUGUUUGUGGUUUGAUGAACAUAUCAUCAAUUGAAGGUAAUUCGUAUUUUCUAACCUUUAUUGAUGAUUUUUCAAGGAAAACCUUUGAAAAACAAUGAUGAGGUAUUCCACUACUUUAAAAUAUUUAAAGCAUUUGUUGAAAGACAUAGUGGCAGACUAAUUAAGAUGGUGCGUAGUGAUGGAGGGGUGAGUACAAGUCUAAUGAGUUCAAAAGACAUUGUGAAGAACUUGGGUUGCAGCAUAACAUAACAUGUCCCAACACUCCUCAACACAACGGAGUAGCCGAGAGAAAGAAUAGAACAAUCAUGGAUAUGGCGAGGAGCAUGCUUAAAGCGAAAGGUAUGCCAAAUUAUUUUUGGGCUGAAGCUAUAACAUGUGAGGUAUAUUUGAUAAACAUAUCACCCAUUUGGAGUGUUCCUAACACAACUCCGAUUGAGGCAUGGAGCGGAUUCAAACCCAAUGUGCAACACUUGAAGGUAUUUGGGUCAAUUACUUAUGCUCAUGUCCCCAAGGCAACAAGAUCGAAGUUGGAUGAUAAGGCAAUGUAGAUCACUUUCAUUGGAUAUAAGCAUGGGGGAUACAAACUGUACAAUCCAAUGACAAAGAAUGUGAUUGUUAGCCGUGAUAUUACAUUUGCCGAAGAUGAGGAAUGGCAAUGGAAUGCAGCAGUUGAAAUGGAUUCGAAAAAACGAUAUAUUUACAUUUUGAACGAUGAUGUGAAAGAUGGAGUAACUCUUGAAGCACCUGUCGUUCAACCUGAAGUUGUAAUUCAACUUGAAGUUGCAGCUCCAAUUGCAACUACGAUGGAGCGACGAAGAAGGCAACAACGACAACCUGUACUCCUUCAAGAUUACGAAGUAAAUCUUGAUGAUGAAGUUGAUGACAAUGGAGAAUUGAUUCACUUUGCUUUACUUGCAGAUUUAGAACCCGUGAGACUCGCAAAUGCCAUUCAAUACCCCAAAUGGCAAGAGGCUAUGAAUGAAAAAUUGAUGGCGAUUGAGAAAACAAUACAUGACAACUCACUGAUCUUCCGAAAGGACACAAAGCAAUUGAUGUGAAGUGGGUGUACAAGAUUAAAGUGAAAGCAAAUGGUGAGAUUGACAGAUACAAGGCAAGGUUGGUAGCAAAAGGAUUUGAGCAAAGAGAAGGCUAUGAUUACGAAGAAAUAUCUUCUCCUAUAGCUCGAAUGGAAAUAGUGAGAUUAAUCAUUGCUUUGGUUGCACAAAGGCAAUGGAAAAUUCACCAAAUGGAUGUCAAGUAUGCGUUUCUAAACGACCUACUUGAUGAAGAGGUUUAUGUAAAGCAGUCGUCGGGUUUCAUACAAUCCGGCAAAGAGGAGAAGUUGUACAGACUAACUAAGGCUUUAUAUGGUCUUAAACAGACACCAAGAGCUUAGAACAAAAGGAUUGAUUCAUUUUUCUUCAUGCCACUGGAUUAAAAAAAUGUGCAUCAGAUCAUGGUCUUUAUGUAAAGACUAAUGAUUAUGGAGAUUUGCUAAUUUUAUAUCUCUAUAUUGAUGAUGUGAUUUUUACAGUAAGUAAUCUCAAAAUGAUUGGUGACUUCAAGCAUAUCAUGAUGAAGGAAUUUGAGAUGUCUGAUCUCGGUCUUAUGUCCUACUUUUUGGACAUUGAAGUCAUCCAAGGAGACGAUAAAAUCUUUAUUCAUCAGAGAAAAUUUGCUGCUGAGUUUUUAAAGAAGUUUAAGAUGGAGGAUUCAAACUCAGUUAAGACUCCAAUUGAAACUGGAAUUCAGCUUACGAAGGAAGGUGACUCACUUGUACUAGACUCGACUUAUGUUAUGCUGUGGGAUUGGUUCGUCGGUACAUGGAGUCACCUCGACGGGUUCAUUUACAAGUUGUAAAUAGAAUUAUGCGCUACAUCAAAGGUACUACAACUCUUGGUCUAUUUUACUUUUCAUCUAAGAAGAUUGAGAUUGUCGAAUACUCAGAAAAUGAUUGGGGUAGAGAUUGAGACGAGAGGAAGAGCACGAGUGGUCAUUGUUUUAUGCUCGGAAAAACUGUUUGUUUGUGGUCAUCAAAAAAACAGUCAAUUAUUGCAUUAUCCACUUGUGAAGCUGAGCAUGUAACAGCAGCAACAAGUGCUUGUAAAUCAAUUUGGCUCAACAAUAUUAUGACUCAAAUUGGUAUUAAUCUCGAUGUUCCAAUCAAUAUUUAUUUUAACAAUGUCUCUGCAAUUAAUCUAGCAAAAAAUCCGGUUUUUCAUCAAAGAAGUAAACACAUUGAUUUUCGAUAUCACUUCCUGCGAGACCAAGUUAGGAAGAACAAAUUAGAAUACUGCAGAUCAGAAGAUCAGAUAAUAGAUAUUCUAACUAUGCCAUUGAAGAUCGAUGCUUUCAUCAAGUCAAGAGAUCUGUUGGGCAUGAAGGUUGUUGGUCAUUAAUUCAAAUUUUAUUUUUACUAAAUUAGAGUUUAAAUUAGUCUUGAAUUGUUGUCCUAGUUUACCGUUAGUAUUGCGUUAGUGAUCUAGUGGUUUUGAAAGUGUAGUCCUAGUUUAUAAGGUUGUUAGUAUUGUGUUAGUGUUUAAUUAUUGCUCCUAUUUUGUAGCUUCUGAUAGUUGUAAAUUUUUUUUUUAUAUAUUGUAAAAGUAAAUCAACAAAAUGUAUGAGUUCAGUACUAUAUUGCCUUCUAUUAUUUCUUUCCAAUAGUUUCUAUACUUUCUACCAAAUAAUCUGUGAUAAAUUCCCUUUUGUACAAAAAGGAAAACAAUUUGAUGUAAAUAGUCGAAAAUUGAUCAAAGAUGGUUCUAUUCUUGAAAACCUAAAUUUAUAAGAAAAUUGACAUAUUAAAAAGAAAAUUCAGUGUAGAUUAGAAUUUAUGUUAUUAUUUUAAAGUGUCAAUAAAAAUAUUGUUGUAUCGAUGAGCCUAUCAUCUGCUUAAGACUAAGGUUGUGUACUCAUAGGUCAAGGUUCAACCCUUGCCAUCAGAAAUAUUAUCUAAACUGAAAGAGUUAUUAGGGUUAUUUGGUUUCAACGAGUGAUUUACGAGAAGAAAGAAACUUUCACAAAUCAAAUAAUAAAAAAUUAAUAAAUUUUUUAGAAAAAAGAUUAAACCUUAUUUUUUCACAAAUAUGCAAAAUUUUGUGGAAAAUCAUGGUUAAAAUAUAUAUUAUAUUAAAUAUAUAUUUUAUAAUUAUUAUAUUAAAUAUACAUUAUUAUUUCCUUUAUAUUCAUAUUCAUAUUUAUAUUUAUAUUAUAAUAAAAUAAGUAUAAUUAACUAUGUAAUAUAAUAUAAAUAAUAAUAAUUAUUAAAAUAUUAAUAAAUAUAUAUAAAAUGAUAAUUAAAAUAAAAUACUAAUAAUAAAUUUAUGAAAUAACAACUAUAAUAAAAUAAUUAAAAAAGUUAUAAAUAAUAAAUAAUAAUUAUAAAAAUAAAUAAUAGUAAUAAUAGUAAAAUUAAAAUUAUUAAUUAAUUAUAAAAUUAUUAUCUUUUAUUUAGUUAAAAUUAAUUUAUAUUAAUAUAAUUAAAUUCAUUAUUAUCUAUAAAUCUAUAAAUAUAUAUAUAUAUAUAUAUUAUUUUAUAACUUUUAAAAAUUUAUUAUAUCUAUGAAAUCACUCACAAAAUUUUAUAAAUUUUUUCUUAACUUUUCACUUUUAUUUUACUUAAUCCAAACAAUCUGACUUUAUCUUUAAAUUCACUUUUUCAAAUCUACAGGGGAGUUCUCUGAAGAAGAAAUUAGGACUGCGGUUUGGAAUUGUGAAAGUUCUAAGAGCCAUGACCCUGAUGGAUUUAAUUUUGGUUUCAUAAAGUUUUGUUGGGAAAUUUUAAGGAUGGAUGUGAUGUCAGCGGUGAAGGAUUUUGCGACAAAGAGCCAUUGGCCUAGAGGUUCAAAUGCUUCCUUCCUUUGUCUUGUUCCAAAAGUUGAAAAUCCUUUGCAGCUUGGUGAGUUUAGGCAUAUUUCUUUGAUAGGAUGUUUGUAUAAAAUUAUCUCAAAAGCGUUGUCUCUACGUUUGAAAAAGGUGAUUAGCAAAGUGAUUGAUGUUAGACAGUCUGCUUUUCUUGAAGGUAGGGGUUUGUUGGACAGUGUGCUGGUAGCGAAUGAGGUGCUGGAAGAAUAUAAAAGGAAAAAGAAGAGUUGUGUGUUCUUCAAAGUUGACUAUGAAAAAGCAUAUGACUCGGUUAGCUGGGAGUUCCUAUAUUAUAUGUUGGAAAGAUUGGGUUUUUGUGCUCAAUGGAUUCGAUGGAUAAAGUGUUGUUUAGAAUCUGCUUCAGUCUCUGUAUUAGUGAAUGGCAGUCCAACUGGGGAAUUUACUCCUCGGAGGGGACUUCGUCAAGGUGACCCGCUUGCUCCGUUCCUCUUCCUUAUAGUUGCAGAAGGGUUGGCUGGGGUGUCUAGGAUGGCUGAAGAGAAGAAUUUGAUUGAUAGUCUGGAGGUUGGAAGAGAUAAGGUGAAGGUUAGUAUGUUACAAUAUGCUGACGAUACAUUAUUCUUUUGCGAAGCGAAUACCAAAAGUGUUUUUAAUAUUAAGGCUAUCUUGCUUUGCUUUGAGCUCGCUUCUGGGCUUAAGGUGAAUUUUUUAAAAAGCAGUAUUGGCGGGAUGGGGUUGGAUCAAUGUUCGCUUCAGCGUUUUGCAGCUACUCUUAACUGUAAGGUGAUGGUAACUCCUUUUGUCUAUUUAGGGUUACCGGUAGGAGGUUGCCAUAAGCGCAGUGUUUUUUGGAACGGGGUGUUAGAGAGAGUUCAGGGCAAGCUGUCGAGGUGGAAAGGCAGGUGUUUGUCGAUGGCUGGGAGGAUCUGUUUGAUUAAUUCAGUCCUCUCCUCAGUUCUGUUAUUCUUUAUGUCCCUAUUCAAACUGCCAUCUGGGGUGGCUGACAAGUUAGUUCGGAUCCAAAGAAAUUUCCUUUGGGGGUGGGGUUCUGACAGAAGGAAGAUUGCUUGGGCCUCUUGGAAUAAGGUUUGUGAGCCUCGGGACUACGGGGGUCUUGGAAUCAUUGACUUAAAGACUUUUAACCUGGCCCUGCUAGGCAAGUGGAUUUGGAGGUGGGGGUCGGCCAAGGGAGGUUUGUGGAAAGAGAUUCUUGACUCUAAAUAUGGUGGAUGGAGGAAUUUGAGAGCGGAAGGUAAACCCUGCAGGGGUUCUCUUUNNNNNNNNNNNNNNNNNNNNNNNNNNNNNNNNNNNNNNNNNNNNNNNNNNNNNNNNNNNNNNNNNNNNNNNNNNNNNNNNNNNNNNNNNNNNNNNNNNNNNNNNNNNNNNNNNNNNNNNNNNNNNNNNNNNNNNNNNNNNNNNNNNNNNNNNNNNNNNNNNNNNNNNNNNNNNNNNNNNNNNNNNNNNNNNNNNNNNNNNNACUGGUUUAAUGGUGUUUGGAUUUGGCAUUUGUGCUGGCGUAGAUCCCUCUUUGACUGGGAGAAGUUGUUGGAGGAGCAGUUGAGUCAGUUGCAGCAAGGGGUGAAGAUGGAUGUGGGAGGGGUGGAUAGCUGGGUCUGGAAGGCUGAGGGGUCUCAAAGUUUUAAUGUUAACUCAGCUUAUAGCAAGGUAAGGAGGGUUAGUGAUGGGGAGUCCUCUCCGACCUACUGUAGGUUGUGGAGGUGUAAAGCCUUGCCUUCUGCUGUAUUCUUGGCCUGGAGAGUUUUGGAAAAUAGGAUUGCAACUAGGGUUAAUUUGGUAAGGCGCGGGAUGGUGGUUGAAAAUCCUGUAUGUUGCUUGUGUGGGAAGGUCGAUGAGUCGUCGAGUCACUUGUUCGCCGUUUGUGACUUUGCUUGGAGGGUCUGGUGCCUUUACUUUGAGUGGCUUGGAGUGUCGUUCGUAAUCCAUUCGGAUCCAAUGCAAAAUUUUAUUCAAUUCAGGUUGAGUCAGGCAUCUGUUUCGGUUAAUGAUGUUUGGGGGGCAAUUUGGGUUGGAAUUGUGAGUGAAAUCUGGAAGCAUAGGAACUCGGUCGUCUUUAAUGGAGGAGUGGCAGAUGCGUUAGAAGUUUUUCCCUCAACACAAGUAAAGGUGUGGUCUUGGAUUGCUGCAAAGUCCUGCGAAGUUUAUUUUUCCUAUCCCUGUUGGGUUCUGGAUCCUUUGGCCUGUAUACGGCUGAUUCGGUAAAGCUAGUUAGCGCUUGGUUUGGUUGGUCUUUUGACCGACGGUUUUGGGUGUCGAGUUAGGAGUUAAAUUGUAUGUGUGUUUGUAAAAGGGUUGAACCACCCCUGAAGUGGUUCUCAUUUAUUGAUUUUUUAUUGCUGAUAAAAAAAAAAAAAAACUAAUCCAAACAAAGGAUUAUAGUUGAAUCGAUCUUGAAAAACAAACUUAGAAAUUAAAGGUAUUCGAAAAAGUUAGAUUUUUGUUAUGACCAAUAAGAAAAUAAAAGAUCUCAUUGACCAAAUCAAACCAAUAAAGGAAGCAUUUUCAAAACUUUUCUUACUUACAAAAAAGCUUUUAAAAAUUAUUUUAUUUUAUAUUUUUUUUCUUCUUUUCCAUUCAUUUUUGACAAAACCAAAAAAAAAUUUCCAGAACACCAUCCCAUAAUUUGAUCACCAUAUAAUUUAUUUUGGAUGAGCAUUCGCUAAAUUCAAAAAUUGAAAGUCGAAAUUAUAUUUUUGAGAAACCAAAUUUUGAUGACAUAUGGAAUGACCUUCUUCCACCCUUGGUCAUUAUCGAAAAAAAUAUCUCCAAAAUUCGGAGAAAUUUUCUUUUGAAAAUAAACCAAAAUCUCACCAUGAUCAUAAAUCAGUGCGCUACUUGGAGAAAAAAAGUCCGGUUGAGUCACUGCACACCAAUUCCCACGCUCAAGCUUUUCCACUAAAAUUGUUUGAGAAAUUGAACCACUAAAUCAAAUAGCCAAAUCACGUAAUCACCAAAUUUUCUACUAAUUCACUAAAUUGGUUAAUAACACAAGCAAAUACUGUAUUGGUUUUCAACCAAUUUGAACAAUCAACACACCAUAUUUUUUCACCAAACCUGUACAGUAAAACAACAACACAAACAUAUUUUGUUUCCUGCUCCAAAAUUUGAAUCAUAAAAUGCAGUGAAUCAUCACACAAAAUAAUUUUUUACAAAAACAUUAUCUGCAGCUUAAACCAAUACACAAAUUGCUUCAAAAACUCCACCACAAAAUCAACGCGACUUUUUACAAAUCACUAAUUCAGGAACAUAAUAACUAAACUUCUCUAUUUUUCGAAAAUUUCACAGGAUUGAACAAUUCCUAUUGGAAUUCGCACUCAAAUGGAACUCUAGUGUAGAAUUAACGCACCUCUUACUCAGCUGUCAACGUCACUGGAAUUUCACCGUUUCCAACUUCAAUUUGCUUGAGUAAUUUUUCGUUCGCACAAUACAAAUUGCUUCAAAUUCAGUUUACAAGAUUGGAUCAGAACCACCGAAAGUAAAUCACCAUUCCAAUAAUAUUCUCCGUUCACUGAUUUUAGGUCACCUUAAACUGCUAUUUCCGUUCACCGAUUCCGUUUGUCGGAAUCCGCAAGAGUUCUAUUCACAAAUCGCAAAUAAAGAAUUGCACCGAUGCGCGCCAAUGAAUUCAUUUUUGUUUCUGCCUUUUCAAUAUCGUGCCAAGAACUCCAGCAAAAUUGAUGAACACAAUGGGAAAACGUAAACCGAAAAGUAAUCAACACCAUUGUAGGGCAGUGGUCUCGAACUUGAGAAGAAGAAUGUCACCCAUAAAUUUAUAUGAUGUCAACUUCAAAGCAAUUGACCCAAUGUAGGAUGAUCUUAUGAUUAUCACGUUAGAAGUAGAGAACUUUACACUCAUGAAAAUCCUGGUGUAUCAGGGAAGCUCACUACACAUUUUCUACUGGAAAACCUUUAAAAAGUUGCAAAUCCCAGAUGUUGACAUCCAAAGCUUAUGGUGAUGAGAUAGUGUGAUUAUUGGGAGCGAGUAUAAAUAUGAAAGGUUACAUUGACUUGUUUUCUAAUUUGGGAGAAAGAAGUUUGAAAAGUCAGACUAUCAAGAUCUAAUACUUGAUAAUCGAUACAAAUACCUCAUACAACAUUCUCCUGAGAAGAUUAUCCUUAAAUAACCUAGAAGCUAUAGUGUCAACAUCAAACUUGACAAUGAGGUUCCGUUAUGCAUCCAGAGACAUCAUCACGAUCCAUGUCAACUAAAAAACCGCGAGAGAAUGCUAUGUUAUCAUCUUGAGGAUCACACCCUUAUAUCCUAGUUGAGAUUGCCAAACGACAAAUGAUUGACCUCAAUCCAUAAUAAAUGAUGAUGUAAAGGUCAAGCUUGACAAAGACACAAUCACCAUCUGAUUAAGGCACAAAGGGCAAGAAACAAGGAUAAAGACCAACCUCGUAGAAUCUGAGGCCAAGAUGAUAUAUUGGGUCCCCUUUCAAAAUGUUAACCUAUUCACAUGGACAGUCGAAAACAUGUCAGGGGUAGACCCUAAGGUGAUCUUGCACAAGUUAUUCGUGUAUAAGGAAGCUCACACAAGGUUGCAAAAGAAGACAAAAUUAGGGGAUUAGAAGCGGAAAGUUGCCAAAGAGGAGAUUGAUAAGCUUAUCAAUGUUAGAUUUAUCUAGGAAGCACGAUACACAACAUGGUUAGAAAACAUAAUUAUGGUAAAAAAAGUUAGUGAAAAAUUAAGAAUUUAUACAUACUAUAUGGACAUCAAUAAGACAUAUCCUAAAGAUGUUUGUCCCUUACAAAGUAUGAACUGCAAGAUAAAAGGUCCUCAAUUUUCUAAAUGCCUACUCACAAUAUAACCAAAUAUGAAUACACUCAAAAGAUGGGAAGAAGACGAUUUCUAUGACCAACAACACUAACUGUUUUUCUACAAGUUUGAUUCAACUUUCUAUGAACAAACGACAACAAUUUCUCAAAAAAAACUUAUGCACCCGAAAUGGAUGUUCUUGCAACUCUAACAUCUAAUGCAAAACUAAUAGUAAUGUUGUAACACACAACUAUUGAAACAAAGACUUAUUCCUAAACAUGUUUAUGAUAUUAGUCGCAAAGAUAUCUACAACACUACACUAGUUAAUAAAAAAAAUAAAAUAAAAUAUAUAUAUAUAUAUAUAUUUAUUUAUCUACGAAAGAAAAACUCAAUUUAUCUACGGAAGAAAUCUGUAAGUAACAGUCAAAAUUCGUAGGUAAAUAAGCAUUACCUACGGAAAAAAAAUCUGUAUGUAAUGUGGGCGUAGAUAAUUCAACAUCUUUUAUUAUUAAAAUUUCAAUUAUUAUUUGAUUUUUUAAUUUUUUUUUAAUUAUUAUUUACAUAUAUUAUUUAAUGCCUAUUUUUAUGAUUAUUAUUAACAAUUAUUAUAUAUGUUUUGACAAUUAUUAUUAAAAGUUAUAAGUAAACUAUAACAGGUGAGACUCGAAACCAAGUCCCUUGAAAAAUAACGAAAAAAACUUUAAUUAUUACACCAAACAAGUUUUGUUGUCAUGUUAUCAUUAUUAUUAAUAUUAUAAUAUUAAUAAUAUAUAUACUUAUUAGUUAUGAUUAUUAUUAUUUAUGAAUAUUAGUUAUGAUUUUAUAAUUAUGCAUAUGAUAAUAAUAUUUUUAAUAUUAUAUAUAUAAUUAUUAUGAUAAUAGUUGGUAGGUAAUAGAGAUCCGUGAGUAAUAGUUGGUAGGUAAUAAAUAUUCGUGGGUAAAGUUCGUAGGUAAUAAGAUCUGUGGGUAAUAAUAGUUGGUAGGUAAUGCUAAAUUUACUUACGGAUUCAGAUUUGUAGAUAAUGUUGAAUUUACAUACGAAUUAAAAUCUGUAGAUAAUAUGAUUUUUUUUGUAAUGACACCAAUUGUUAUUUAUUCAAGCUUUAUUAGUGUAGGUUUAAAGAGUUAUUUACAACCGGAUGAAAAGACUUAUUUUGAAUGUGGCGAGGAAUUGGAUUCAAGGAGGGAUCAUAACAAGACAAUCAACAUGUUGGGAGAAAGUUUCAAUUAAAAUGCAAGAAGAAUUACCAAUUUGUCAUGGAUGUAGCCUCGGACAAACAAUAUUUAAUGGUACGGUAUUUUAUAAAUGAAUAAUAUUUAAUGUUCUAUUAAUUUAUUAAUUUAUGUUGAUAAAGUCAAUAAUAUACAUUACCAUAUACUUGAAUAUUUUAAUUAUAUUCAAGUGUUAUUAAUAAACAUAUUAUGAAUUGAAUAGGAAAAAUAUUUCAAUUCAGUAACCAAUUGGAGUGCAUUUAUGCAUACUUUUCGAUUCAUGUUUAGCCUAUAGUGAAUAUGUGAAUUUGAGAGGCUAGUUCAUAGAUUCAACUUUUGUAGAUGUAUGACUAAUUUCUUAACCUAAAAGUUGUUAAUUAUCUAAAUCUUAUUCCACUUUAUGUAUACUUGUAACUAACAAUUUUAUGAGAUUUUUUAUUAACAAUAAAAAAUAUUUAAAUUAAAUAAAUUAUUUAGUGAUGCAAUCCAUAUACAAAACUUCACUUAUAAAAUUGUCUUUGUAAAAUACCUAUUCAAACAAAAUGCAUAUGGCUCUCACAUAAGAACCCAAAAUAAAACUUAGGACAACCCACAACCAUUAUUGGAGCCUUGCCUAUAUGCUACAUAUUCAACAUACCACAGUGGUAAGCAACAGUAGAAAAAAUAAGACUAUAAGGUCUUAGUCCUAAGCAUAAAUGUGGCUCUGUAUAUAGAUUUUACAUAAGAUUUCAAAUAGAUUUACAAGUUUUAAUUUAUUAAAAUAUAUAAAUCAUUUGAAUCAAAUUAAAGUUGACUAAAUCUAUAAUAAUAAUUUACGUCGAUCUAAAUUUUGAAAACUAAAUUCAUGUUUACAAAAUACUUAAUAUUAGAAAAAUAUAAAUCAUGAUGCCUUAAAAGCAUUUUUUUUUGUAUUUAAUCAAUUGUCUAAACCAAUAUUAAUCAAAUAAAUUAUCAACUAUUAAUGAAAUAUUUAGAACAGAUAAAUAAUAAUUUUGUAAACAUAUUUAAUUAAAUCAAAUCAAUAUAACAUGUUUAAAAUAUAAAUUGUUUGAAUGUACAUGACAAUGUUUGUAAUUAUUAUAUAUAUUUUUUACAAAUACACAGAAAUGUGACGACUCAUAUUGAUUUUUUUAAAACUAAAAAUUAAUAACAAAUAUAUUAAGAAUUACAAUAUAAAAAAUUUAAGUUAAAUCCAUUUACUACAAGACGAUAUUGUUAUGGCACUAAAGGAUAUAAAGGACUUUGCAUGGAUACCUAGAUGGAAACCACCAAUUGGGAAAAUGAAAAUAAACGUAGAUGGAAGCUAUGAUUUAUCACUCAGUACAUAUUGUCACAGGGAAGUCUAGAUAUAGGGAUCAAAAUUCUAUGUAGGUCUUUGGCUUUUCUUCUUGUAAUACAUCCAAAGCGGAAAUUUUGGUCAUUUUGCAUGUAAUUCAUAUGUAACAACUAUUUUAGAAUAUAAUAACAUGUCCUUGUAUUACAUAGUUCACUACAAAAUACAAAAUAAAUAAUAUAAACAAGUAAAAUAUCAUGGACAACCAAAUGUUUAGAAUAAGAAGAUGGAUACAAAUAAGCAAUGUUAUGUAUUGGAGAGUAGUAUAUACUUUACCAGUAAAUAAUUUCAACAUUGAAUAUAUCUAGCUAGAGUUGAUUGUUUGAUCCUGUGUCACUGUUUCAUCUGGAAAUAGAAUAGGUUUUGGAGGUAUUUCCAAGUCUUCAAUAUCUCCUUCAAGCAUUUCCACUACUCUAUUCAUUGAGGGUCGAUCAUUUGGUUUUAGUUGUAUACACCAUAGUGCAACUAUGAUCAUCUUCUUUGCUAUUUUAUUUUCUUCUUCUGUCACAUCUUCAAUAUCUGCAUCUUUCUCUUCCCUAAUAUGAUCAUAGAUCCAAAGGGGAAAGUAAAGUUGACUUGAGUGAUCUGCAUGAGGAUUUAGAUUCUUUCUCUUACUUGUCAUCUCCAUCAACAACAUUCCGAAGCUAUAAACAUCAGCCUUAUGGGAUAUUCCUCCAAUAUUUUUAUAAAACAAUUCAGGAGCCAUAUAUCCAAUGGUUCCUCUUGCUACAGUCAUUGUGACAAUGCUAUUAUCUAUUGGAUAUAACUUUGCCAAUCCAAAGUCAGAAACCUUAGGGAUGAAGUUUUCAUCUAGUAAGAUGUUAUGAGGUUUAAUGUCAAAAUGCAAAAUCUGCAUCUCACACCCAUGGUGGAGAUAAGCAAUCCCACGAGCCACUCCGAUUGAUAUAUUAUAUAUCUUUUCAUAGCUUAAAUGUAUAUUUCUCUCUUUUGAGAAAAUAAAUUUAUCAAGAGAUCCAUUGGGCAUGAAUUCAUAAACAAGAGCACGUUUUGAGCCACUAACACAAAAUCCAAUUAAUUGUACCACAUUUUGAUGAUGUAUUCUUCCAAUGGUUGCAACUUCACUGAUAAAAUCUUGUCCAUUUCCUUUGGAUUCGUUCAAUAUUUUGAUGGCCACAGAAGGUCCACUGCGCAACUUUGCCUUAAAAACAGAGCCAAAUCCUCCUUCACCUAACUUCUCUUUGAAACCUGCAACCAUCUUCUUGAUUUCCUUGAAUGAAUAUCUAAUAGGUGCAAAGCUAUUUUGUUCAAGGUAAUUUUCAAUAUUUUCAUACAUUGACAUAUGUCUUUUUCUCCAUUUACAUAUAAAAAUAACAAUUAAGAAUGGCAAUCCAAACAAAACUUUGUAAGCCCAUACCAUAAGAAUAAUUUGUUGGAGAUAUCCUGCAAGAAAUUUUUACUUGGGUGAUUACACAUGGUAUUGUAAAAUGAAAUAAAUUAUUUGUUAAAGUAUUUUUUGUUCACAAAAUCCAAACUUUACACAUCUAUAGUAACAUUACACAAAAGAGUAAAUUUAAUGUCUAUCACAAACAACUAUCAAUAAAUUUCAUUUUCGACAUUGGUAUCUAUAAAAUUGUAUGUAACAUUAAUAUUUCCUAAGACCUAAUUCAUAUGGUUGUAAAAUAAUACAAAUAUUUUUUUAAAAAAAAUUUCUUUAGUUUCUAUAAACUUUUUAAAUUCAAUUUGUGUUCCUCUAACAUAUUUAACAUAUUAAAAAUUAUAAUUAUUUAUCUUUAAGGUAAUUAACAUUUAAUAUCGAUCAUAAACCUUUAUUUAUAUCACUUUGAGGAUUAAAAUUUUAAAUUUUUAAAUUAGAUGAAGAAAAUAUGAGAAACUUUUGGACAAAUUAAAAUUGAAUUUUUAAAAUGUGGAGAAUGUAACUAAAACAUAGGUAAAUUAAGAUGAUAAAAUAUCAAUUAGAAUCAUGUUCAUCUCACUAACCAGACAAAAAAGACUUUGCAUUUGAACCUUUUAUAAAGGUUGUGUUCGAUUAGUAUAAAUCACAAUGUAAUAUACUUACAUAUUAUAAUGUGGUCUUAAGUUGAUGUUUGUAAUACACAUCCCUCGUGCCGAGGACACCGUGUGUUCAUAUCAAAGACAUUGAGCAUGAGAAUCGAGGGAAGCGUAAUAACGGAUAACACGAUAGGCUCAAAUCUCGACUAGAAUAAACUCUUAGUGACUUUGAUGUCAUAUAAGGAUAAUGAGUUUAAGUUUAACUCCACCUCACAAAGUUGGUUUAAUAAGGUGAGGUUUACCACCACUUAUAUACGAUAAUUUGGUCUUAUCUUUAUUCGAUGUGAGAUCUUCAACAAUGUGGUUAAAAUUUAUUAUCAAAUGUCCAAAACAAUGCUUAAAACAUAAUCAUCGUUGAAAAUAGCAAAUGAUGAUGGUUACAACGUAUAAUUAUCAUCACGUGUCUUUUAAUAUAUAGAAAUCAUGCCAACACAAAUAGUGUCAUUUUGUAACUUUUAAUGUUUUCUUCUUCUCCAUUGUAUUGCUCCCACCAUCGCCACUCCUUUGCAUUUGACCUAGUAAGAAAAUUUUAUUUUUAUGUCUUUUACAAUUAGAUAUUUGCUUUCGCUAAGUUUUUCUCAUGUACGAAUGAUGGAGAAAGAGGAUGUCUAGAGCUAGGGAACAAAAAGGAAAGCAAGACCUCUUCUUCACACAUUUUUUUUAAACUCUAACGAGUAUGAUAUGUGGAAAAUCUUCCAAAGUUGGGGAAGAGUUACUGGAAUGUUCAUAACUAGGAAACUAAAUGGGAGAGGACAAAGAUAUUACUUGGUGAGAUUUGUAGAGGUUGUCAAUGAAGUAGAAAUAUAAAAAAAGUAGACGCAAUUUGGAUAACAAGCAUGAAAAAUCACGUUGGUUGACCAAAAUACAAUAGGUUUGAAAAAAACAACAACCAGAACAAGAAUGAAGGGAUAAACAUAGAGCAAAGAAUCGAAAGAACAAAAAAAUGGGUGAAAAGGAAAAAUACUUUACUUAUGCACAAGCGGUAAAACGUGACACUAAGAAGGAAGGUAGAAAAGAUGCAAUGGAAGGAAUAUCGUUACAAGUGUAAUAGAAGGAGAAAAUGUGGAUAAAGAGAAGUUUUGAAGUUAGACUACAUGAUGCAAGUAAGAUGAAUAUGUUAAAUGAAAACUUUAUCCUAGGUGAGCUAGGAUUCAUCAUAAUAAGAUAUUUAAGGGAUAAUCAAGUGAAUCUCUCACCUGAUAAUGAAAUGAAUAUAUAUAAACAAUUGAGGAACACAAUGAAUGAUUUUCAAGCACGUUUGAGUCUUCUUGGUCAUCUCAAGAAACAUCGAGAAAUAAGAUCAUAUAGGUGCGGUGUAGAGGCAUACCAUUAUCCUUAUGGGGCAUCAAAUGCUUCAAAAGGAUUGUGGUUAUCAUUGGAAUGCUCAUCACAAUAAAAGAAUGUUGUUGAGUCUUGAGAAGUGUUAAAGUAUGUGAGAUUGUAGGUAUGUUUAGCAAUUAGGAGUUUCACUAUGAUGUAUUGGAAAAUCAAAGUCAACGGUUCAAUUAUCAAGUGUCGUGGGAAGAUGAUCUCACUACAACAACAACCAAGAAGGAACACAAAUUAAAAUAUUGGGGGAACAAACCAUCGUUAGCAACAAUAGAUGGGAUUAAAACAGAUUCAUUUGAGUCAAAAUGUUGGGAAAUUAAUUAUCUUGAUAUAGGAUAUACACAGGGUAAUGGGGAACAAACCACAAUGGAUGUAUCAAACAUUAAAAGGCCGACCACCAAAGAGAGCGACGCGAAGAUGAAAGGGCCGUUGGUGGGUAAUUACCAAGGGGAGAUCAAAUUUUAUAUCGUCCUUACUUUCCUUUUUUUGUGUUGCAUGUGACAUUUUGACUUCCCUGACUUCUACAUACCAUUUCUCUCAUUAUGAUUAAUAUUAUCAAGUACUUCCUCCUAUGAGUUCACCAUUUUUUCCUUCAUGGAUUUAUUCUCCUGCUUUAUUUCGAAACUUACUUGCCCAAUAAGGUUCUCAAGAAAUAAUUUUUGUUAGAUUUCCUUUCCCAAAUGCCACACUUGUACAUUGAAACCCCUAAUGAUGAAAUUUCUUCUUCCACUUAUACUUGAUAAACAAUAUCAUUGAUUUUCGUCUAUUUAUUAAUUUUUUCCUCAGCGUGGGUUUAUCUAUAGUUAUCAAGGUGUCAAUGGUUGUCAUUACCUUUUUUUAAAUAUUCUUGUCUCUACAAAGAUAAUAGUAUGUGUUGAACAUGGACUUUGAUGUCUCCAAAUCCAUGAAGAUUGGUUGAAGGCUUUGCUGCUGCUUGUGUGUGUGGGUUUUGGGUAGUUUGAAUUUGUAAUCCACUCAUAGAAUUGAUCAAAAGUUGUUUGAUUUUAAUGCAUUUGAAAAAGAUGUGUUUUCAAAGAGAAGUGGAAAAAUAACUAGUUGUUUUAUCGUUUUAAUCGGUUGUUUUACACUUAGAGUUUUUUGAAAGGAUUUGAAACUGUUUGACUUUACUGUCAAACCAAUUCAACCGGUUGUUUCGAAAAUUCAACCGAUUGAUCUUUGAAAAUCCUUAACAAAAUUAUGUUAAGUUGAUUUAAUCUGAUUUAAAUGAUUUUAACUGAUUUUGGAUCUUUCAUUAAUUGCUUUUAACAACUAUUUGGAGUAUAAAUAAGUGGUUAUACACUCCUGGUUGUUAAGAUUUCAAAUUAACAGUUUCAAAUCAGUUUUCCAAGAUUGCUUCAAGCUUUGGAUACUUUCUAAGAGUGGAAUAGGAUUGUUCUGUAAUUAAGAUUGUUUUGAUCUUUGAUCAUUAUCAGGUGUAUUCCAUUCUCUUUCAUUUGACUUGUAUUUCUGUAAAGUACUGUGUUGCAUAGAGUUAGAGGGUGUUCUGAUCUGUGGUGUGUUGUAAUUGUCAAAGGAAGUGUGUGUUCUUGAGGGGUUCAAGAUCACUUCUUUGGUGUGUGUGGUUUGUAAUAUGUGGUUGAUUACAUAUGGAAUACUCAGUGGUUUCUGGGGACUGGAUGUAGCUCUUAGCUUUUAGUUUUAAGUAUUUUUAUAAAUUGCUAAUAAAACCAACUGGUUGAAUCGCAUAAACAACCGGUUGAUUUUCUGGAAAUCAACUAAAACAGUUUUGUAACUUGUGCAUUUUCCUUCAUUUGACUUUGAUUCUUCAUUGGCUUUGUCCAUACCUUCAAAGUCUGCGGAAAAACAUUUAAAAACAUUUCACCCCCUCCAGUUUUAGGCCUAAAAUUCUCACAGUAGCCCUUAGGCCUAACCAAAACAACCUUGUUUUCUAAGAUAACUUGGUUUAAUUAUGGAAUCACUAAUUCAAAUGACAUUUAUAGUCAUUUGCUAUCUUCCUCUAUCGCCUUACUUACUUUGCUAUCCCAUAAAUUAUGCACUCUGAUGAAUUUCAAGCCAUCUAGAAAGAAAUUUUCUUUUAGCAUAUCCACCUUAUUGUUGUCAAGCAACCUUAUGAUAAAAGCUUUUCUUCAACCAUUAUUGCUCUUACUCAUUCACCAAAAAUUGUUUCGCUUCCAUCUACCUGUAUUAGUGUUCAUAUUGUUUUACAAUCUCACUUAUGCUCGUGACUAAUACUGAACUUUCCCCUUUACAUCAAAGUCCCCAUUAUUUUGCUUUUUGAAUUAGUUCCUUCGAGCUUACUUCACUUGAACACCAUUUCUUUGUUCCUUCAAUAUUUUGCUACCAAAUUUAGAAACUAAAUAAUUGGUAGUUAAAACAUUGAUAGCUAAUUAGAUACCAAAUUAGAAACCAUUUAACAAUAAUAGAAACUAAUUUAGAAACCAUUUUUUUUAGUUUUUAAAAUGGUCUCUAAUUUAGUUACUAUAGCAACUAAUUAUUUUUUAUUUCUAAAAUUAGUUUCUAUUUCAUGUUUUUCUUGUAGUGCAAGUGUCUUGAUAAUUUGAUUAUUUUUUUAUCUUAGAGUGUGUUUAAUAAUUUAUAUCACUAUAAGAAAAUCAUUAAAUAAAAAUUAAUUUUAGAAACUAAAAAUAAUUAGUUGUUAUAGUGACUAAAUUAGAGAUCAUUUUAUAAACUAAAAAAAAAUUGGUUUCUAAAUUAGUUUAUAUUAUUGUAAAAUGGUUUCUAAAUUGGUAUCUAACUAGCAAUUAAGAUUUUUGCUACCAAAUUUAGAAUCUAAAUAAUUGAUAGUUAAAACCUUGGUAGCUAAUUAGAUACUAAUUUAGAAACUAUUUAAUAAUAAUAGAAACUAAUUUAGAAACCAAAAAAGUUUGUAGUCUCUAAAAUGAUUUCUAAUUUAGUCAUUAUAACAACUAAUUAUUUUUUGUCUUUAAAAAUGGUUUCUAUUUCAUGAUUUUUUUAUAAUGUAUAUUCAUUAACAAUAUUUUGGACUUUAAUUAUGCAAUUAGAUAAAUUAUAUAUUGAUUCAAAAUGAUGUCAAACUAUUUCUUAUAAUUAUGUUUGUGAUGUAAUAUGAAGUAAGAUAAUUUGUAAAUAAUUGUGUUUAUGAAGGAUUUGUUUGGAAUUAGAUUGAAUGCAGGUUAAAGUUAUUAUCAAAACUGGGGAUGACAACGAGGAAAGGUGAGUGCAAGUUUGACUAUACACAUCCACAUUAACGAAGUAAAAAGUUAUUCUCAUCCUUGUCUUAUCCCAUUAGGUAUAAUUUUUUUUGUCUCAUUCUCAUCCUCAUUAGGUAAUGGGUGUAUCCAUAUUCACGCUCAUACUCGUUCUCACACUCUCCCGAAUAUUAAAUAAACAAUGUUCUUACAAAAAAAGAAAAAAAUCACAAUAAAGAAAAUAUGUUAUCAAAUAACAAUUACACGUAAUAAAAAUUUCAUAACAAUUUCAAUAUAUUGUUUUGAAAAUAUUGAGGAGAAAAUACCUUAGAGAUUUGAGUGAACUUGGUAAAUAUUAAGCAUGAUGAAUUGUUGAAAGAGAGAAUGAAAUUUUGUGUAACAAAAAAAAUAGUUCUUGAAAUGAAACAAAAUUAAGAAACAAGAAAAAAAAAAAAAUUUUAGGUUACCUAAUAAACUAAGAGUUUACAAAAUUUAAUUCGAUAAAAUUGAGGUUUACGUUUCCUAAAAUGUAAUUUAUCAUUUGAAGAAACUCACAUAAAGAAAAAAAAAUGUAUAAUUGAGAAUAUAAUUAAAGAGAAAAUACCUUGAGGAUUUGAGUGAACUUGAUAGAUAUUAAAUAGUUAAACGAUUGGGAGAGUAUGUAAAAUAAGAGUUUUUCAAAUGGAAUGAAACAAAAAGCACGGAUGAGAAUAACAAAAAUAAGUUUUCUAAAUUAUCUAAUAAAUUAAAAAUAUUUUAAUAAUUUAAAAUAAAGAUAAAUAUAAGAACAAGUACGAUGCAAAUAUAGACAUACUCAUUCUCGUCUCCAUACCCAAUUUAAAAUAUUAAGUAUUACUCAUCAUGCUCAAAGUUUAUUUAUAACCCAUUUUUAAAACAAAACAAAUAUUAUAAAAGUUAUACAUACAACAAAUUUUUUUACUAUAAUGAUCAUAUAUUACUUUCACCAAUUAUUCAUAUCAUAACCAAUCAUUGAAAGGGUUGAAAAUUUUGAAAAUAAAAUAAAAUUAAAAAAUAGAAGGUUUAAUUAUAAAUUAUUGUCGAAAGUGGUUGGACAACAAAGAUAAGGAUAAUGAAUUAGACCAAGAUAGUAGGAAGAUGAUGAAUGAGCUAUUUUGCAUAAUUACAUAAGUUAUUUUAUAAACAAGAAACCCUGGAGACUGAAUUGGUUAGAGAAAGGGGAUUUGAAUACAAAAUUCUUUACAAAAUAUGUUUAAAGGAUUGGUAAUUGGCACUUAAUGAUGUGAACAACCUGUUAUGAUUAAAAAGAAAUGAAGGAUGGAUUUAAGUUGCGAUUUUCUUAGCAUUAGGUUGGAUAACAUUGAUUUCCCUACCAUUAAUUCAGAGAAUAAUCUAUUUUUGACUGCUAUAAUCACAGGAAAUGAAAUAAAGGAAGUUGUUUGGGGAUGUGAUGGAAAAAAAUGCCUUAAGACGGAUGGCUAUAAUUUCAAUUUUCUUAAAAGAAAUUGGAGGGUUGUUAGUUAGGAUAUAUUCAACGCUAUUAAUAGAUUCUAUACCUUAGGAAAAUGACCUAAAGUACAAAUGUUUUUUAUCUGCCUAAUUCCUAAGAUUGACAACUCUCCAAAGUUGCAAGAUUAUAGAGCUAUCUCACUUAUAGGUUGUAUUUAUAAGAUAGUUUCUAAAAUUUUAGCAAAGAGGCCAUAAAAAGUUCUGUGUAAAGUGAUUGAUAUUAAACAAUCUUUUUUUUUUAAGGCAAUAAUGUCUUUUAGAUAGUAUGUAAUAGCCAAUGAAAUCAUACAUGAAGUAAAAAAAAAAGAAAAAAAAAGAUUCUUUCAUAGUUAAAGUGAACUUUGAGAAAACGUACAACUUAGUUGGAAUUUCCUAUUUUAUAUGAUGAAAAAGUUAGGCUUUAGCUACAAAUGGAUUAGGACUUGUUUAGAAUAAUCUACCGUCUCAAUGCUAGUAAAUGAUAGUCCUACGAUGAAUUUAAACUCGAAAAGGAGUUGAGACAAGGUGAUCCUUUAACCCAAUUUUUAUUCCUCACAAGUAGGAGGAGGAUUACCAGGAACUAUAAAACAAAUAGAGUGUAAGGGUAUGUUUGAUGAUAUCAAGAUAGACAAGGAUGAUAUUAACAUUAGUAUAAUAUAAUUUCCAAAUGACUACUUGUUUAUUUGCCAGGCCUUAACUAAGAAUAUUUUGGUAAUUAAAAGUAUUCUCAUAUGCUUUUGAAAUAGUCUCAUGUAUAAAAUUAAGUUAGGAGGCUUGAGAGUAAAAAUAUCUACCAUUCAUAGAUACUUUGAGUUGCUUAACUAUUGUAUUAUGGGAAUCCAUUUAAAUAUUUAUGCAUUCCCAUGUGGGGAAAUCAUAGAAAGAAGAAUUUUGGUUAGAUAUGAUAGCAAAAAUAAGAAAGAGGUUAACUAAAUGGAAAGGAAAACAUAUUUCCUUUUGCAAGUAGAAUUACCUUAAUAAUCAAGUUAGUGUUAUCAAUUGUGCCUUUAUAUUAUUUAUCUCUGUUUAAAAUGUCAAUACUUGUAUGAAAGCUGAUUGUUAAGGUUCAAAGAGAGUUUUGUGGGAUUGGGAUCAAGAAGGAAGAAGGAUUGCGUGGGUAAAUUGGGAAGAUAUUUGCAAAUCUAAAUUAGUAGGUGGUUUGGAGAUAAAAGAUUUAAGAUGUUUUAACCAGCGUCUGCUAGGUAAAUGAAAUGAGAUUAGGAAAUGAUAAGGAUGACUUAUGGGUGAAAAUUCUAAAAUAAAAAAUACCUUUCAUGGAGAUCUUUAAUUGAAAAUAAAAAGAAUAAAUGUGAGUACUUGUGGUGGAGAGAUAUUAGAAAAUUAAGUGGGUUUGAAAGGGGAAAAAAUGGUUUAGGGAGCAUAUUUUGUGGAAGGUUGGGUAGGGUAAUAUGAUCUUAUUUUUGAAUGAUACUUGGAUAGGGGAUAAGCCUUUAAGGGAGAAAUAUCCAAGAAUAUAUAGUAUUUUAAAACAAGAAAGAAAACUUAAAAUAAAGGAGUUUGGAUAACAUACCAUUGGACUUGGAAACUUAUAGGUAGAGGAGGGAUUGGUUUGAGUGAGAAAAACUAAUGGUCGACAAAUUGGUACAUAUUAUUCAGGAGAUUACAAUACAUAAAAAGAUCAACUAGAUGAGUGGGAGUGGAAGGGAGAUAGAACUUGUUGGAAUUCUAUGCAAUCUGCCUAUACAUAGUUUUCCCUUAUAAGAGAAUGAUGUAAAUUUUAAUUAUUUGUGGAAAGUUAAGGCAUUACUCAAACCUUAUUUUUUGUUUAAAGGGUAUUCUUGAAUAAAAUUUCUACAAUAGAUAACUUGCUCAAAAGAGGUAUCCAACUAGAAAGAACUUUGUGUGUUAUCUGUAAUCGUUUAGAAGAAACCAAAAUCCUGUUUACAUGUAGAAUUACAAAUCAAAUUUGGAACAUGUGUGAUGUGUGGUUAGGGAGAAUUAUGAUACAUCAUUGUAAUGCUAAACAACACUUAUAGAAAGGGUAAAUAGGAAGGGUAAUACAUCAUGUGGGUUUAAAUAGGAAGGGUAACCAAAUUUGGAAAGUUGUGUGGGUAGAUGCAAUGUGUAAUUGUGGAUACAUAGAAAUAAUGUUAUAUUUAAAAAUCUUAAACCAAAUGACGUAAAAAUCUAUUCUAUGGUAUAUGUUAAAUCGUGGGCAUGGAUAACGAAGAAGUACACUAAGAUCAUAAAAUCUUAACGUUAAACACCUGUGUUUUUUAUUAGGCUACAUAGCCUAGAUCCUUCAAUGUAGUUCUAUGUAGGAAAAGUGUAACUUUUGUGCAUCCUUGGUUAUGUGUGUAUCUGGGCUCUAGGCAACAAAAGCUUAAAUCAGUGCUCUAUGGAUUACAAACAUAAUGGAACCUAGAACAUAAUCCUGGACAAUUGUUGAGCAAAUUAUUAUACUCUGUAAUAAAUUAUGUAGCCUUUAGUUCAAAUUUGCAUGUCCAUUAUUUCAACUCAUAGAUUGAAACAAGGAAUAACGAGUAGUGCGAAUUUUACAUCUGUUUUUGUGUGCAGAGGGGCUACAAACUGGUUUAGAUCACUGUCUGGUGUAAGGGUGCUUCAUAUGUGUAUUAAUUGUAGCUAGGAUUACAACUACUUUCUGUUGAGGUGUUGAAAGGUCUACCAGCCUAGUAAUUAUUUUUUGACAUAAGGGUUUGGACUCUGUAAAGUCUCCUCAUUUUAUAUAUUUUUUAUUAUUGAUAAAAAAAGUGGUUGAAAUUUUUUAAAAACAAAAUAAAAUUAAGAAAAAAAUACACUGACUGUACGUGGGCAAAUCUUUUUUUUUAACAACAUUUAUAUUAAUGAAAAUUUCAGAAGUCCUAUUAAAAUUCUAUUUUAAUAAUUGUUAAAAGCUAUACUCCAGUUGUGUAAUUAAAGCAUUGAGAAAUUAAGAUGAUAAAAUCUUACCUGGUUCUAUUAUUGUCUCUAGCAAUUCCAGUAUUGUAUGAAAACCCUCUGAAAUGAAGUAAAAUGUGACUUUAUAAUAGUCUCAACAGUUAUUCAAAAAAGAAUAUUUUCAGAUUUUGAUAAAGGUUAUAGCGGUCAAUAAGUUUAACAGUUAUUUAUUUUAAAAAUAAUAAAUAUUUAAUUUAAUGCUUAUGUUCUUAUAAAUACAUGUAAAACAUAAAAAAUAAAAAAAAUACCAUUUUUUGUUCUAAAAGUUCGUUGAAUUAUUAGAAUGAUAUUUUGAAGAUAAUAAUAUAUGUAAAAUGAAACAUAAAAUAUAGAUGACUGAAAGUUUGUUUUGAAAAAUUCUGAAAAAGUGGUUAACAGAUUAUCAUUUGAAAAUAUAUAAUUAUGUAAAAUAUGUCUUAAUAUUUGGUUUAGGAUCACUCACCGCAUUUAAGCUUCUGGUUAGAAGAGGCGAAAUAGCAGAAUCGAUGUGGACAAAGGUUCUGACAGGCGAGUUCUAUCCAUGAAAUCUCGAAUCCAUAGUUGAGUGCGGUGUGCAUGGAAGAGUAGGAAUGGUUAUCGAAAGUGGAGAGAGAAGUGGGAGCAACAAGCUUUACCUCACACCCAACUUCUAAGUCCUCUGCUUUUAGGUCUCCACCAAUUGCAUAUGCAUACCCCUUCCCCUCCCACUUCACCCACUCUCCACUCUCCACAUACUUCCCUUUCUCUCCCACCGAAUGGUUACAAUUCACAAACACUAUAUGCGAGAAACUCAAUUCCCAAUUUUCAUAGGAUCUUAGACCGGCUUGGUAUGGAUCCGAGUCGUAAAAGGAAGUGUAAGUGUAAGUGUCAGAGAAAUUGGAACGAGAGAGGAAACGGAGAGGAAGGGAGGAGAGAUUAUGGUGUUGAAGAGCAGGAUCAACCACUCUCACUGUGUAGUUAUUGUAGUUUAUUGACUGCACAUGAUAUUUUGCAGAGUACAGAUACAACACCGUAACGUUAUUCUCACAACCAAGUUCAUACCUUUCCUCACCACACUUUUCUGGGUCGCCUUUUAAUCGAAAUGGAUAACUAAUGUUGCUGAUUUUUCCACAGGAAGAAAGGGGACAAAAGAGUUGUUGCUCGUCCUUGGUAGCAGAAAUAUGGUGGAGUAGAAGUAGCAGUACCACCAACACUGCUCUCUCUCUCCACAUCAUGUCCAAACUGUUUCUCAUUGAAUUCAAGUGCAAAGAAAUCGAAGUUAGAUAUUUAUAUUUAAAACAUCACACACUGAAUAUAUAGCUAUAAAGGACCACAUUUUUCCUUUUACAAAAUUGUUCGAAGACGUAUAUAUGAUACUUAAAACGUAGACUUUGACUCAGAAACCGCGUUUCUAUCUUGUUUCCGCAACUCAUUUUAAUCCAUACAAAAUUUUAAAUAUUCGUGAAGUGCAUGAAUUUUGAUUUCGGUACUUAAUCAUGUAAUUUUGUUGAUGGUGUUCUUUGAGUUUCUAAAACCAUCCUAAAUUGUUCGUUUUAAAAGCUUAUAUUUUGAAAAUUAAUUUUAAUGACCUUAGAAUUUCUGUGAGUCCCAAAAUAAUGUUUGUUUGGUUAAGAAACUUCAACAUGUGAUUAUUGUUUUGGUGAAUUUUUCCUCGAAAAUGGCCUCAUAUGUUUCUUUGUGUUAAUUUCUUGAACAUAUUCUUCUUGGACAUGGGAGCAAGAAAGAGUGUGUGGUGGCAGAACGUAGCACUAACAAUUUUAUGUAUGUGUAAAAGGUAACGGACAGAGAAAAACAUAUGGAAGCAAUUCCAAACACGUAACCCAAAAUUCCAGCAUACUUUUCAACUUGUGGCCUUGAAAAACUCAAUAAUUAAAAGUGCGUUUCGAAGAAUUUGACGUAGAUCUCCAAAAUUAUAAUGUGCCCAAAAAUGUGUAUGGUAAGACCUUGUGGACUUUGACCUUGAUAAAGUUUAUAAAAGUGAACAACUCAGAUAACUCUUUAUAGAAUUAAACUCUUGAGUUACAUAGGAUGAGCCGUGAGAUCCUCACUCGGCUAAUUAGUAAUUGAAAGAAUAAAAAAUCAUUAAGCAAUUUUUUUUGGUAGAAAAGCUAGCAGGAAAUUUCUAAACCAUGUUUUCUGCAUGCAGGUAUCAAAACCCUCAAGUGCAUGUAGUUUAUUCCAUGAAACAUUAAAUUUUAGUCUUAUGCUUGUUUCACACUAUUAUGUCCACAGCAACAAAUUAACCAAAACCCUAUUUAUAGCCAUUCAUGUUCUUUGUACGCCAAUUGCCACAACAAGAAGUUACUCACCACUAACUAGUUGGUAUUAGUAGAUUACAUUCUGAAAACUCACCACAAUUACUUGAUCACUAUCACUAAAAUAAAAAUAAAAAUAUGAAUGUGGUGACGAUUAUUUUUAUAUAAAGUGAUAUUUAUAAAUGUCACAAUAUAUAUACGUGUAACAUUUUCGCUUACGGUUAUAGAUUUAACCGCCACAAAGUUUAAUAUUCGCUUACGGUUAUAGAUUUAACCGCCACAAAGUUUAAUAUGACGAUUUUAUACAAAUCGUUUUAACACUAACCAUUUAAUGUUUACACUAACCAUUUAAUGUUUUAUAUAAAGUGACGUUUUAUGUGUAUAAUUAAAAUUGUCGUAAUUUAUUUGAUCGAAAAACAAUUUCGGUGUAAAAACAACACAUAAACAUCGCUAUAUACUGUACAAUAUUUUGUUUUUAUCUAUCAUUAUUAUAAGAACAAUCUGAAAAGCAAUACGUAAGUUUCAAGAUAGUAAAUUGAAUACUAAAUAAAUAAAAUUCAGUCACCAGUUUAUAAUCUCAUUAUUUAAUAAAUUUGUUUUCAUAAUUAAACAAUUAAACAAAUUUAUAAUACCAUUUAAUUAAAUCUAUUUUCGUAAUAAAAAAAAUUAAAUACUACUCAAAGUUAUAAUAAACAUUCAUUGCAUUGAAAACAGAACACAAAGUUAAUAGUUGUUCAAAAGUACACCAAGAUAAAUACACAAAAUAUUUUUAAAUAUGAUAACAUUUUAUUAGACUAUUACAAUCAUCUCAGUUUUGCUUCCACCACUUGAUCCUAUUAUUUUGUUGAGUGAUAAAACACCAUUUCCAACCUAAGGUGCCAACAUCUAAUGCUUAAAAUAGAUAAAAAUUAAUUUCAGAUUAUUCAUUUUCAAUUUUUAUAAUUAUAAGAAGACAUUAAUAAUAAAUAUUUAAGUAUAUUAAGUUAUACCUCAUUCCAAUAAUAGACAUGAUUUUAGGUUAUUUGAAAAACUAGAGAGUUAUAAAAAUAAAGAAAUGUAUUUUUCUAUUCAAGAAUAACAACUAAAUAUACAAUCAUUGUAAUUUUGAAUUUCUUUAAAGUUUUUAUUAAAUAAAAUUACAAUUGCAAUUACAACUACAACUAAUUUAUUUUAUUGUUAUCCUUAAUGGGAUGUUUUUUCUUACUCUUGAAAGAAAUAAAAUAAUGUAUAUAUUUGUAGUAGGCAAAGCUGUAGUAGGCAAAUAUAGGUUUCAAUAUUUUUCCAUCUUCUAGCCUGAAACAAUCUCAAAUUAUAGAAAAGCUUAGCAUUUAGUUUGCUAAAUGUAGACAACACUAAUAAUUAGCAAGAUAUUGAUUCUAAUUAUCUAGUGGUCUGUUGGAGAGAGUUCAUAAAAUUUAGUUAAAGCGAGAUUGUAGAUAAUCUGCUGAAAAGAGUUAUUUAUGUAUUUUUCAUUAAUUUCUCAUAGAAAUUAAUAGUAAACGCUCUCUCAACUGAGAUUUCAGGUUAUAUAAUGAUGCUUAACAUAAAAGUUUUGUAGGGAUAUUGUGUGCGGAAGCGUGAUAAUUUCAACACAAAGAUUAUGAGAAAUUAAAGAAACAAGUAAAGUGAGAAUGAUAUCAAAAUUUUUAGGUGGAAAACCCCUUUAAAUAGAGGUAAAAAACCACCGGCGAGAGAGCCAAAACAAUGGUACUGGGAGUACAAUGAAUUCCUCUCAAGCUAAUGAUAAAUAGCCCCAAAACAAAAUUCUCUCUCUAUAUGGGUUAAACACUUACACCCAAUAGCAGAAAUAGAGAGUAUAAGAAAAGAGAGAGGAAGCAAGUGUGUUUGCUGUUUGCUGUGUGUUACAUUGCUUGAAGGAAACCACUAUAUACAGUGGUUCUAGGAGACAACAAUAAUAAAUACAAUUAAUGGUAAUUAACCUCCCAUUGAUGACAAUUGAUUGUGGCAAUUAACUUCCUAUUGAUUGCAAUUGAUUGUGGCAAUUAACCUCCCAUUGAUUGCAAUUGAUUGUGCUAAGUAACCUCCCAAUUAUGACAAGAAAACGGAAAGGUGAGUCAUAAACCCACAAGUUUUUAUAAAAAAAAGUAAAAAAUGAUAUUUGGUUCAUACAUAUACAUUUGAUCCAUUUAGAUAGUAACGUUCUAAUGAAAAAGUAAAUUUAAUAUACUUAAACAAAUAUCAAUAUAUUUGAUUGUUGGAGUUGCUAAAUAUAAUGUGUUUCUUUUUUCUAUGCCAGAAGAAAAUUUUGUCUUUAAUUAACGUUGGUAUACAUAUCUUAGACCAAAUUGACAAAUGGUUACGGAAAUUGAAAAAUAAUUUUUUAGUAAAAUAUGUUUUUCGUCAUUCUAAAUUUUUUUUAAACAGUUUUUCUUUCAUUUAUUUUGACUUAUUUUCAUACAUCUGUUUGGAAUUUGAGUUUUGGUUCUGGAGGUAACAUUAAUAGCGUUUAUUAAGCACUAUUCAAACUACUCUAAAUAUAAAAGUGGUAUAUUUUAAAAAUAAUGAAUAAAUAUUGGAAAAAUAUUUAGAGCGAUAAAAGUAUAAUUUUUGAGAAAUAUAAAUAAAAAGUAUUUUUUUUCUGUGUUUGUUUAUUGUAACGCAGGGAUCAGAAUAAACAAAUUAAGCCAAUUUUAUGUAUGUCCACUUCUUUUACCGCAAACUAAAGCAUAUAAAAAUUCUUGUCCAGAUGAUAUUAAAAUUAAAAAAAAAAAUCUGUGUAAAAUAAGUAGUUGUAAAGUGUGUGAACAUUUUAUAUAUAUAUAUAUAUAUAUUAUAAUCAAAGCAUACGUAAAUUAUAAGGUGAUAACAAUUGUAAAUAUAAUUUUAAGGAAUUAGUUUGAGAACCCAAUUAAAGAAGUAUUUCAUGACUUACUUAAAUAAAGACAAGACAUAAAUAUGGAAAAAUGAUGGAAAUAAAUUUUUAUAUCUUGAUUGAGAAACAAUAUUAUAUAAUGCAUUUGAUUUUUUUGUACUUUAAAUAUUUGCAAAUUAUUCUAGGACUAAAAGUUCCACCACAUGUAGAACUGUCGCGGAAAUAUCUUUCCAUUAAUAUCCGUGUUGAUAAGCUUUAUUGAGUCACAAUUUCUAAUGAGUUUCACAGGUUUGUCUUAUAUAAACACUUCAUAUGAAGUACAUAAUUGACUCAGUCAAAUGACAAUAUACGUAGAAAUAAUUCAUAUAUUGAAAUUAAUAAUUAUUGAUUUAUUUUUAGCAGUUGAACGUACGUAUACACUACCAUUUAAUGUAUUAAAAAAUUCACAUCCAUUAAAAAUUAAAACAUUAAAUGAAUACAAAAUAUAAUCCAAUCUCUCUAUCGAUGUUAAAUGAAUUUGAACAAGUGAUAUAGCUAAUUGGACAACAGAAUUCAUAUGUUCUUUUCAUCAGACAACAACAACCCAAGUUGUGAGGCUUCUUCCUCAUCAUCAACUUAUACUUUUUUUUUUCAACUUCCAAUUAUUAUGUGUUGUAAAACACAUAAAUUGUUUUAGGUGAAACUUAUGUGUCAACUUUCAAUCAUUAUUCAACUUUCUACCAAACAAUCUCUGAUAGAUUGCCCUCUGUACAAAGAGGAAAACAAUUUGAUGUAAAUAAUCGGAAAUUGAUCAAAGAUGAUUGUAUUCUUGAAAACCUAAAUUUAUAAGAAAAUUGACAUAUAAAAAGGAAAAUUCAGUGGAGAUUAAAAAUUAUGUUAUUAUUUUAAAGUGUCAAUAAAAUAUUGUUGUAUCGAUAAGUCUAUCAUCUUUGCUUAAGACUCAGGUUGUGUACUCAUAGGUUAAGCUUCAACCCCAUCAGAAAUAUUAUCUAAACUGAAGAGUUAUUAGGGUUAUUUGGUUUCAACGAGGGAUUUACGAGAAGAAAGAAAAUUUCACAAAUCAAAGAAUAAAAAAUUAAGAAAAUUUUUAGAAAAAAUAUUUCAACCUUAUUUUUUCACAAAUAUGCAAAAAAAGAAGCAUGACUAAAUCAAAGAAAAUAAAAGAUCUCAGGACUAAAUCAAACCAAUAAAAAAGCAUUUUCAAAACUUUUCUUACUUAAAAAAAAAGUUUUUAAAAAUUAUUUUAUUUUAUUUUAAAUUUAUCUUAUUUUAUUUUAUUUUAUAUUUUUUUUCUUUUCCAUUCACUUCCAACAAAACAAAAAAAAUAUGCAGAACACCAUUCCAAAAUUUGAUCACCAUAUAAUUUAUCCUGAACGAACAUUCAUAUACUAAAUUCAAAAACUGAAGUCGAAAUUAUAUUUUUCAAAAAUCGAAUUUCGAUGACUUAUCGAAUGACCUUCUUCCACCCUUGGUCAUUAUCGGAAAAAAUAUCUCAAAAAAAUCGACUCUCUGAAAACCAAUUUCAGAGAAGUUUUUAUUUGGAAUAAACCAAAAUCUCACCGUAAACAUAAAUCAGUGCGCUACUUGGAGAAAUAAAUCUCAAAGGUGCUAUUUAGGGAAUUAAUUCCCAAAAGUGUUCCACUUGGGAAAAAAAGUCCGCUCGAGUCACUGCACACCAAUUCUCAUGCUUAAGCUUUUCCACUAAAAUUGUUUGAGAAAUUGAACCACUAAAUCAAAUAGCCAAAUCACGUAUUCACCAAAUUUUCUACUAAUUCACUAAAUUGGUUAAUAACACAAGCAAAUACUGCAUUGGUUUUCAAUCAAUUUGAACAAUCAACACACCAUAUUUUUGCACCAAACCUGUACAGUAAAACAACAACACAAACAUAUUCUGUUUCCUGCUCCAAAAUUUGAAUCAUAAUAUGGAGUGAAUCAUCACACAAAAUAUUUUUUUACAAAAACAUUAUCUGCAGCUUAAACCAAUACAGAAAUUGAUACAACACAAAUUGCUACGAAGAUGAUCAAGAAAGCAAAAGACAAAGCACAUAGUGAAUAGUCAUCUUAGUAAACAAUUUAAAACUCCACAAAGGAUCACGUGUACCUCACUAGAGGAGCUGGACAUAAACCAACUCACCAACUAUUCUUCCUUUUGGUCUUCUUAUAAGAUAUAAAUAUGUUGUAAAUAAUUUGGACUCUCUUGAGGGGUUCAAAUAGUAGAAUAAGCAGGAAUAGGUGCCUAUAACAUAAUGAGGGUGUAGUUAUCAUUUUAGUUUGUUCCUAGCCCUUUAGGAAGAAAAUUUGACUAGUUUCUAGAUGAACAAGUCUAGGGUGCGAUUUUGACUUAGUCAAACCCUAAAGGAAUCCCUCACACAUUUACUACCCUACCCUUGCCCUUCUUGCCCACCAAGGCACCCAUUCCUAUAAAUAGGGUGUCUUACUCCAUGUAUUUUCAUGUUGAAAUUGAAUAGAAAAGUUACUCUACAUAAAUUACGUGAGGUUUUGUGAGGCUUGUGUCCUCUUAGCAAUUAGGUCUUAUCUUGAGUGAGUUGAGAGCUCUCAAGUGGCAGCCCUCUACACUUAUCUUGGAGGAAACCACAUUUCAAGUGGCGUGUCCCUUCUCUUCCACCACCAUAAGCAUUCUUUCCUUAAUAUCUUUUUCAAUUGUUUUCCAUUUCGCCAAUUUACUCUUUGGUUUAUGUUGUUGUCUUGUUUGAUUAUCCAUUCCACCUCCUUUAUUACAUUGUCUUCCUUUCAUGCUCUUUAAUUUCCGCCAUCAUUAUCAUUCACCAUAUACUUGUAUUUUUUCUUUGCCAUCUAGAAGUGAACCUUCACACUUUUCGUGUCCAGUGGGAAUCUUCUUUGGGUUCUCACCAUAUACUUGCUAAAAUAUCAAUCAUAAGUAAAGUGUCACCUCUAAAAUGGAACAAUCUAAAAUCAACUCACAUCACAAAUUGCUUCAAAAACUCUAGCACAAAUUCAACGCGAGUUUUUACAAAUCACUAAUUCAUGAACAAAAUAACUAAACUUCUCUAAUUUUCAAAAAUUUCACAAGAUUGAACAAUUCCUAUUAGAAUCGCACUCAAAUGGAACUCUAGUGUAGAAUUAACGUACCUCUUACUUAGUUGUCAACGUUGUAGGAUAUUUGACAAAGUUUAAGAUGAAUAAGUCAAGCUAGUUUUUAGGAGUUGAAUAAGUCUGUUGCAGAUUUUAUUUUUUUUAAUAGUGGUUCCUAUUUCUUAGUUGUUUGUUCCUUAGGUUUCGGUCUUUCGAUGGUUGUAAGGCUUCUAUAAAAGUCAUUCUCUUUUCAUUGUGGAAUAUACAAAAUAUUUCUAUUAUUUGAUAUCAGAGCUACACAUAGGAAGAGUGUUUGGGAGGAAAAACACAACACUGAAAAUGGCAGACACUACAAGUUUCAUCGCACCUGUCAUACCAAAAUUCGAUGGAGAUUACGACCACUGGAGUUUGCUCAUGGAGAAGCUUCUUCGAUCCAAGGAGUACUGGAGCAUCAUUAAACUAGGUUUUGACGAUCUGAGAAAAAAUGAAUCACCUACUCCGACUAAGAAAAAGGCGUUUGAAGAAGCUAUUCUCAAGGAUCUCAAAGCCAAAAACUACCUAUUUCAAUCAAUUGACAAAACCAUGUUGAAAAUUAUCACUAGGAAGGAGACAACCAAACAACUAUGGGAGUCCAUGAAAAUCAAGCAUCGAGGAAAUGCUAGAGUGGAACGCGCACAACUAUAAAGGCUAAGGAAAACUUUCGAAACCUUGGAGAUGAGGUUGGAGAACGAAUAAAGGGAUAUUUUUUCAAGAGUCAUGGAGAUCGUCAACGACAUGAGAAAUAGUGGAGAAGAAUUAGAUGAUGUCAAGAUUGUUGAAAUUUUUUUAAGAAGUCUCACAGACAACUUCAACUUUGUGGGUUGCUCCAUUGAAGAAUCAAAGGAUAUUGAUAGCCUUAUUGUUGACGAGUUACAAGCAUCACUACAAAUACAUGAGAGCAAGGUGGUUGAGAGAAGGAGUGAAGAGCACGUUCUGCAAGUGGAAAAUGUGUCAAGGAACGCUCAAAGAGGAAAAGGAGUUUACAGAGGACGAGGAAGAAGCAGCUAUAGAGGUAGAGGAAAAUCCUUUGUAAACAGAGCAACCAUUCAAUGUUUUCGAUGUGGAAAACAAGGUCAUUAUCAGUUCGAGUGCACUAGUGACGAAAAAAGAGUCAACUAUGCCGAGUUUGACGAAGAAGAAGAAUGUUUACCAAUGGCGCAUGUGGACGUGAGCAAUACUAAAGAAAGUGGCAUAUGGUUUUUGGACUCCAGAUGCUCAAACCAUAUGGCGGGGAAAAAUCUUGGUUUGUUUAUCUAGAUGAAGGUUUCAAGCAUUCUGUUCGGUUGGGAAACAACUCAAAGAUGGUGGUUCUAGGAAAAGGAAAAAUCAGAUUUGCAGUAAAGGGGAUAAUUCAAGUAUUGACUGAUGUUUAUUAUGUACCGAAUCUGAUCAACAACUUGUUGAGCAUUGGACAACUUCAAGAGAAGAAUCAGUCCAUUAUGAUCAAGAAUAAUGUGUGUAAGAUAUAUCAUUGUAAGAGAGGGAUAAUCAUGGAGACUCAAAUGACGAUGAAUCAGAUGUUUCUAGUUUACGCUAAGAAAAAACCAACAUCUGACAACUGUCUCAAGGUGGAAGAAGAAGACGUGGUUUCUCUUUGGCACAAGAGGUUUGGACAUUUAAAUAAUAAAUCCAUUAAGAUUAUGGCAAAGAAAGGAAUGGUGAAAGGGUUACCUAGCUUGAAGGAGGAUGUUAAGGUGUGCACAAUAUGCAAUAUGGGAAAACAACAACGAGAAAAUUUCCCAAAGAAGAGCAAGUGGAGAGCAACAAAGAAACUAGAACUAAUUCAUGCGAAUCUAUGUGGUCCAAUCACCCCAACGUCUCACAGUGGAAAAUAGUAUAUGUUCGUGCUCGUCGAUGAUUUUUCCCAGAAAACAUGGAUUCAUUCUCUUGCAGAAAAAGCAGAAAUGUUGAGGCUUUCAAAGAGUUCAAAAUUUCUGCUGAAAAAGAAGCUAAGACUGUCAUUCGGGGUCUGAGGAUAGACAGAGGAGGCGAAUUCACCUCAGACAAAUUCAACAAAUUUUGCAGAGAGCAUAUCAUAAAACGACAAUUGACGGCAUCGUAUACUCCUCAACAAAACGGAGUAGCAGAGAGGAGAAACUGAACUAUAAUGAACAUGGUGCGUUGCUUGCUCUUCGAGAAAGAAAUGCCAAGAUUUCUAUGGUCAGAAGCAGUUAGAUGGACAGUUCAUGUUUUGAAUCGAAGUCUCACAAAGGCAAUAAAAGAUAAGGUGCCUGAAGAGAGAUGGACAGAAAUCAAGCCAAAGGUUGACUAUUUCAGAGUUUUUGGUUCAAUAGCUCACGUUCAUGUUCUGACCACUGGUGCAGAAACAUAAAACAAGUGCGGCUAUUUCGAAUUUAUAAAUGCGACUUUAUAGCUGCAUUUGAUCAACACGCAUUUGUAAAUCAAGAAAUACAAAUGCGGCUAUAUAGCCGCAUUUAUAAAUACCAUUUACAAGUGCAGCUAUUUGUUUUAGCCGCACUUGUAUAUGUAAAUCAUUAAAAAAAAUUAAAAUUUUUAAAACAUCGUCAAUCUUGUGUGAAGGCAACGUUGAUGAAGAGUCACGGGAGCGCCAACAACGAUGGCAACAGCAGAAGCGGCGGCGGACAGGGAAGCAACGAUGGAGCAAACCAAAAAAUCCACAAGAACCCACGAAGACAAUGAAAGAGUACUGAGUAAUGCAAGAAACCAAACAAUGUAAGAAAAACGAAUGUUAGCCAACGGAACAGUGCUUCGAGACCACCAAUGCAAGGAAAAAAACAUAUAUAAGAAAAACGAAAACAUCUAUGCAUAUAUUUGUGAAAAUGAAGAGGAAGGAAGAGAGCUCAAGAAACUUACAUUGACACAAAUGGAAUGCAAAUGCAGUAGAAGGAGACGAACUCAGAGUGCGAACGUGAAACGAAGGCAAAGACGAGAAAGAAAGUAUGAAAUUGUGUGUGGCGCGCUUCAAAAUUUAGGGUAAAAAAGGAUUUACGAAUGCGGCUAAAGGUAAAACCGCAUUCGUAAAUCAAAGAGUUUUGAUUUACGAAUGCGGCUAUUUGUAUAGCCGCAUUCGUAAAUCAAGCACUUUGAUUUACAAGUGUGGCUAUACAAAUAGCCGCAUUCGUAAAUCAGGCGCUUUGAUUUACAAGUGCGGCUAUAUAAAUAGCCGCAUUCAUAAAUCAAAACUCUUUGAUUUACGAAUGCGGUUAUACAAAUAGCCGCAUUCGUAAAUCAAAAUAAUUUCAAAAAUGCCACCGCGUUUUUUACGAAAGCGGGUAGCGCAAAAGCUGCACUAAAUAAAGAGUAUCCUUUUCUUCUUUUUGCAUUAGUGGACACAAAAGAGAAUCAAGCUUGAUGAUCGAAGUCAUAGAUGUAUCAUGCUUGUAGUUAGUGAGGUAUCAAAGGCUUAUCGACUGUAUGAUCCAAUCACGAAGAAAAUCACAAUAAGUAGAGAUGUUAUUUUCGAAGAAGAAGCGCAGUGAGACUGGACAUUGAGUACACCAGAGCAUAACAUAUUCACAUGGGAUGAUGAUGAUGGAAUUCUCGAAGGAGAACAAACUGAGGACGAAUAUGAGGGAGAAGGACCUGAAAAUUCUGAAGCAAUAAAUGCUCUGAGAGAAGAAAUAGAAGAGAUCACUACAACAACAAUUUUUGUGCGUGAACGUGAAAAACAAUAAAAAAGAGCAAGAAAGCCGCUUGGAUGGAUGCAAGAUUUUGUUAAUGGAGAAGAAGAAGAUGAUAAUUGGGCAAAAUAUGUUUUUUUCAUAUGUAAUGAUGAUUCGAUAAACUUCUCUAAAGCGGAACUAAAGCGGAAAAGGAAGAAAAGUGGAAUAAAGCAAUGAAGUUGGAGAUUUAGUCCAUUGAAAGAAAUAACACUUGGGAACUCACAUAAUUUCCAAUAGGAGCAAAGACAAUCGAUGUCAAAUGGAUAUACAAAAACAAAGCUGAAUUAAGAAGGAAAUGUCGAAAAAUGCAAAGCACGUUCAGUGGCGAAAGGCUACUCUCAAACAACAGGGGUGGAUUAUACAGAAGUUUUUGCACCAGUGACCAGAUGGGAUACAAUUAGGAGUAUUCUUGCAGUAGCUGCCCAGCAAGGUUGGUGUGUUUAUCGACUCGACGUCAAAAGUGUUUUUCUAUACGGUGAAUUGAAAGAGGAAGUCUAUAUUGAUCAACCUGAAGGGUAUCUUAAAGUAAGGGAGGAAGACAAAGUCUAUCGUUUUAAAAAGGCUUUCUAUGGCUUAAAACAGGCGCCAAGAGCAUGGUUAAGCAAAAUUAAGAGUUACUUUACAAAGGAAGGGUUCAAGAAAAGUGACUAUGAUCACACCCUGUUCUUUAAGAAAACAGAAAACAAUUUAUUGGUGGUAAGUCUUCUAUGUUGAUGACUUGAUUUUUACUGGAGGUGACGAGAUAUUGUGCGUAGAAUUCAAGUCCUCAAUGCAGAAAGAAUUUGAAAUGAUGGACAUGGGAAAUAAGUAUGGAAAGGAGUAUGCAAAGGAGGUGUUGGAGCGUUUUAAUAUGGGGAACUAUAACUCUGUCAAAAAUCCAAUAGUUCCAGGAACUACUGUUUCAAAGGAAGGUAUUAAAAGAGGUGAUGCAACACUCUACAAGCAACUUGUUGGCUGUCUAAUGAUCUUACGGUAACAAGACCUGAUUUGAUGUUUGUAGUGUGUUUGAUUUCACGCUUUAUGUCUGACCUUAAGGAAGAACAUAUGUUGAUUGCCAAAAGAGUACUAAGAUACGUAAAAGGAACACAUGACUUUGGAGUGUUCUAUGGGAGAUCGUCAAAAAUAAAUUUGUUGGGAUACACGGAUAAUGACUAUGCUCGAGAUGUAGAUGACAGGAAGAGCACCUCUAGAUAUGUUUUCUUGCUAAAUAGAGUUGUAGUUAGUUGGAGUUCACGAAAGCAAGACAUUGUCACUCUUUCCUCAACCAAAGUUGAAUAUGUUGCAGUGAGUUCCUCUGCGUAUCACUGUGUUUGGCUAAAAGGGAUGUUGUGGGAAUUAGGAUUUGUAAAUGGUGAAUGCAUAGACAUUAUGUGUGACAACAACUCAACGAUUAAGUUAUCUAAGAAUCCAGUCAUGCAUCAGAGGACAAAACACAUUGAUGUUAGGUAUCACUGCUUGCGAAACUCGUGUGAAACUAGUGUAAUGAAGAAAUCAUGAAGCUGAUUUUGUUGGAAUAAAUGAUCAAGUUGCAGACAUCAUGACUAAGCCUAUCACGUUGGAUCACUUGGUGAAGCUCAUGAAUUUGCUUGGAGUUCGAAUGAUGAAAAAUUAAACAACAACAUCAGUUUAAGGGAAGAAAUUAUGAAUAUUUGACAAAGUCUUAAGAUGAAUAAGUCAAGCUAGUUUUGCAGAUUUUUUUUUUCAAGAGUGGUUUCUAUUUUUUAGUUAUUUGUUCUUAUAUUUCGAUUUUUCGGUGGUGGUGGUAAGACUUCUAUAAAAGUCCUUCUAUUUUUAUUUUUAUUGUGGAAAAUACAAAAUAUUUCUAUUAAACGUCACUGGAAUUCCACCGUAGCGCCUGAAUUCACCGUUUCCAACUUCAAUUUGCUUGAGUAAUUUUUCGUUCGCACAAAUUGCUUCAAAUUCAGUUUACAAGAUUGAAUCAGAACCACCGAAAAUUAAUCACCAUUCCAAUAAUCUUCUCCGUUCACUAAUUUUAGGUCACCGGAAACUGCUAUUUCCGUUCACCGAUUCCGUUCGUCAGAAUCCGCAAGAGUUCUAGUCACAAAUCGCAAAUAAAGAAUUGCACCGAUGCACGCCAAUGAAUUCGUUUUUGUUUCUGCCUUUUCAAUAUCGUGCCAAGAACUCCAGCAAAAUUGAUGAACACAAUGGGAAAACGUAAAUCGGAAAGUUGCACAAACAAUCUGUUCACCUCUCUCACCAGCCAACACCUUUUGCACAACACGGUGAAGAUAAAAUAAAUCACCGAUCUACUUUUUCAUUUCAGCUGCUUCUCCUAUCAAUUUCUGACCAAGCUUCGAGACAUGAAUCGGUUCAGAUGGAGCAGAAGAGGAUUUGAAAACUUCUGAUAUUACAAAAUCGCGCCAAAAACUCAAGCAGAGAAUCAACGUGGAUGAAGACACAUCAAGAAUUCCACAUAAUUUUGAAUAAGAAAUCAAAUUUGAUAUUCUCACCUCUACAGACUUCUUUUUACACCACAGAAUAUAUUUUUGGAAAAUUUCGAAAAUUUUCAAAAAUAAAUUUUGGAGAAGAUGAUAAUGAAAAUCUAACUUUAAAGAAAAUUGGUAAUAUGAUCUAAUAAAAAAUUAUGAACUCAAGAAUGAAAAAUAAAAGCACUCAAGACUCUAAAACAAAAAUUGAUUUUUCUUUUGAAGAAGUUCCACUAAUAGAGUUUAUGACAAAUUUAAACUAAACAUAAUUCUAGACAAAAUAUUUAUAAUUUUAAAAUUAAAAUAACUCAAUUAUAAGAAAAUUUCAUCCAACAAAAUUUAAAAAAACUCAAGAAAGUUCAUUUUUUUUUAUUCAUGAUAAAAUAUGUAUUAACUUCUCAUAUUAGACAAUGUCUUAUCAUUAUUCUUCAAUCAACAAAUACCUACUUAAAGGACUAUAUGUAAAAAUGACAAUAGUUCAAUGUAUCCAUUAAUGUUUAGAUAUUUUAUAAUUAACGUCAGUUUAAUCGAUUCUACUCGCGUUUCUCUUUUUUCUUGUAGUCAAAUUAGAAUUCUAGACUAUAAUAAUAUCUCAUUUAGGUCGACGGAAAGUUUGAAAACUAAUCUCAUGUUUGCAAUACUAAAUAUUAGAAAAAUAUAAAUCAUGAUGGCUUAAAAGCAUUUAUUUGUAUUUAGUCAAUUGUCUUAACCAAUAUUAAUCAUAUAAAUUAUCACCUAUUAAUGAAAUAUUUAGAAGUGAUAAAUAAUAAUUUUGUAAACAUAUUUAUAUAAUUGUUUAAAAUAUAAAUUGUUUGAGUGUGCAUGAUAAUGUUUGCAAUUUAUUAUAUAUACUUUAACAAAUAUUUAGAAAUGUGACAAUGUAAAAUUAAAAAUCAAUAAAAAAUAUAUUAAAAAUUACAAUAUAAAAUAUUUAAGUUAAAACUUAAUAUCUGCGAAAAGAGUUUUUUUUUUAAUUUAAAUAUAAUAAACUAUCUGUAAUCAUCACUUAAACAAGAGAAAAAUAGCACGCCUUCUGUCUUAAAUCAUCGCGUGUAAUCAUUACUUUUGCUUAAUUACAUCCAAAGCAGAAAUUUUGGCCAUUUUGCAUGCAAUUCAUGUAACUAUUUUAGAACGUAAUACCAUGUCCUUGUAUCCCAUAGUUCACUACAAAAUACAAAAUAAUAUAAACAAGUGAAACAUCAAGGACAACCAAGUGUUUAGAAAAAAGGAGGAUGCAAAUAACUAGUCUUACCAGUAAAUAGUUUCAACACUUAAUUAGCUAGAGUUGGUUGUUUGAUAGUCAGUCACUAUUUCAUCUUCUAGAAAUAAAAUAGGCUUUGGAGGUAUUUCCAAGUCUUCAAUAUCCCCUUCAAGCAUUUUCACUACUCUAUUCAUUGAGGGUCGAUCAUUUGGUUUUAGUUGUAUACACCAUAGUGCAACUAUGAUCAUUUUCUUUGCUAUUUUAUUUUCCUCCUCUGUCACAUCUCCGAUAUCUACGUCUUCCUCUUCCCGAAUAUAAUCAUGUAUCCAAAGGGGAAAGUAAAGUUGACUUGAGUGAUCUGCAUGAGUAUUUAGAUUCUUCCUCUUACUUGCCAUCUCCAUCAAUAACAUUCCAAAGCUAUAAACAUUAGCCUUAUAGGAUAUUCCUCCAAUAUUAUUAUAAAACAAUUUUGGAGCCAUAUAUCCAAUGGUUCCUCUUGCUGCAGUCAUUGUGACGAUGCUAUUAUUUAUUGGAUAUAACUUUGCCAAUCCAAAGUCAGAAACCUUAGGGAUGAAGUUUUCAUCUAGUAAGAUGUUAUGGGGUUUGAUGUCAAAAUGCAAAAUUUGCAUCUCACACCCAUGGUGGAGAUAAGCAAUCCCACGAGCCACUCCUAUUGAUAUAUUAUAUAUCUUUUCAUAGCUUAAAUGUAUAUUUCUCUCUUUUGAGAGAAUAAAUUUAUCAAGAGAUCCAUUGGGCAUGAAUUCAUAGACAAGAGCACGCUUUGAGCCACUAACACAAAAUCCAAUUAACUUUACCACAUUUUGAUGAUGUAUCCUUCCAAUGGUUGCAACUUCACUGAUAAAAUUUUGUCCAUUUCCUUUGCAUUUCCCUAACAUUUUGAUGGCGACAUAAGGCCCACUACGCAACUUUGCCUUAAAGACAUAGCCAAAUCCUCCUUCGCCUAACUUAUCUUUGAAACCUGCAGCCAUCUUCUUAAUUUCCUUGUAUGAGUAUCUAAUAUGUGCCAAACUAUUUUGCUGAAGGUAAUUUUCAAUAUUUUCAUACAUUGACAUAUGUCUUUUUCUCCAUUUACGUAUAAAAAUAACAAUUAAGAAUGGCAACCCAAACAAAACUUUGUAAGCCCAUAAUAUAGAGAUAUAUAUGAGAAUAUCGGCAAGAAGUUGUUACUUGAGUGAUUAUUACACUAAUAAUAUAAUGCAAUAAAGUAUAUGAGAAAGUAAAUUAUCAUUCAUAAAAUCCAAACUUUACUCAUCUAUUUACUUAGUAACAUUACAAAAAGUGUAAAUUUAAUUAUCAAUAAAUUUCUUUUUUAACGUUGCUAUCUAUGAAUAAAUUUUCCUGUAACAUUAAUGUGUUCUAAGACCUAAUUCAGUGAUGGUUGUAAAAAAUGCAAACAAUUUUUUUAAAAUAAUUUCUUUAUUUAGUUUCUAUAAACUUUUAAUAAUUAUAAUUUUGUUUCAUGUGGAUUGUCUAUUUUAUGGUGUACGUUGUAAUGAUGAAAUAGAGACAAUAAUACACCUGUUUUGUAGAAUGCAAAAUGAUUAGUAAGGAUAAAUGGAUAGGAGUUGAUUCGGUGUCAUAAUGAUACUAAGUUUAACUAUUAAUAGUUUUACUCAGUUCACUUAGAGUUGUGGGUUAGAUGUCAGCUGGUAUACAACAGGCUCGUUUAAAUUCCGUAUUAUGAAAAUUUUGGAAAAAGAAACUAGUAUCACAACUAAUUUUGGUACGUAAAUGGAACAUGUUCGCAAAUGGAGGCUGAUUACUCUCUCAUAUUUUGUAUAAAGGAGUUGAGUUGUAUUAUCUUUCAAAUGUUUUAUUUAACUUUAUUAAUUCUUUGCUAAUACAAAAAAUAAAAAUAGAUAAAAAAUUCUCACCUUUUUCAUAUACUAUUAUUAGUUCUUCCAGUAUUCCUGUAUCACCCAAAAACGAAGGAAAAUAUCAAUUUCAGAACUGUUAAUCUCAAUAAAAAUAUAUGUUUGACAUUUGGAUUAGGAUUACUCACCAACAGCAUACGGGCAUUUAAGCUUCUGGUUAUAAGAGUCGAAAUAGCCAUAACUAGGGAAAAAUAGACAAUGUUUAUGACAUGCUAGUUUUAUCCAUGAAAUCUCGAAUCCAUAGGCGAGUGCUGUGUGCAUGGAAGAGUAGGAAUGGUUAUCGAAAGUGGAGAGAGAAGUGGGAGCAACAAGCUUUACCUCACACCCAAUUUCUAAGUCCUCAGCUUUUAGGUCUCCACCAAUUGCAUAUGCAUACCCCUUCCCCUCCCACUUCACCCACUCUCCACUCUCCACAUACUUCCCUU
rnacentral:lncRNA from 1 species